rnacentral:lncRNA from 1 species
GGCAAGAGGCUCCUAUGGUUUCCCCAUGUGGUAGUACCAAUCCUCCUUCUAAAAUGCUGCAAAAUCCGACGUAAAGUGGUAAUAAAGGUUCUGAAACUUGGAUCGUGUAAAUGUGUAACUCUGGCCUGUCUGAUCGUCAUCUGUCACCUUGGGCAAUCAAGUUACUGUGAUAUAAAGUGUGUUACUGGUAUUCAUGUUUUUAUUCUGGACAUACUGUAGUUUGUUACUGAAAAAACGACACUGUAUGUUCCCUUUGCAUCAAGUGAAUGUACAAGAUAUUGUUGAUUUUGGUUUGGCUGAUGUUACCCGGCUACUGUUUGGUAGUUGUUGACUUUUCCCUAAGUAAGACAACAUUAAUUGGUAGCUGUUGACUUUUCCCUCGGCAAGACAACAAUAAUGCAAAGAACAGACUAGACAGACCAUUUAAGCACAAGCAUAAUGCUUCUCAGGGCAUCUCCAACAUCCACCCGCAAAUUGGCUCCUCCGUGGAUCGGGGUAUGGGGAAGCCUGCCAUCCUGCAUAUGUACUGCCAGUAAAGGUAAUUUGAAAUUCAAAUAAAGUUUGAUCCAUAGCGGUAAUAAAGGUUCUGAAACUUGGAUCGUGUAAAUGUGUAACUCUGGCCCGUCUGAUCGUUAUCUGUCAGCUUUGGCAAUCAAGUUUACAGAGAUAUAUGGGCUGUUUGGUCGCCGGCCGCACCUUGCCACGCCAAAGGCUCCCUAGGCCGCCGUUUGGUUGCCUCCUAAGGUUGCAGUGUCUUUUGCAGUUGAUUUCUCGUCACACUCUGUGACGCUCGUUUUCAACGCCAAACUCCAUGGCGCGCCGGGAGUGCGGCUAAACAAAUGUGACGUCACUAGUCUCCAACCAAACAGCCCCAUAAAGUUCUUACUCCCUCCGUAAAAAGUGAUCUAAAGGUUCUUUACGGAGGGAGUGCUUGUCUGUGUGUUUGAAUCCUGGUUCUUUUUAUUGUUGCUAUAAAAAACCGAACUCCCCUUUGGUAUGAUGUGACCGGCCGGGAUGCAGUUGAUUCUGGUUUGAAAUUUGAAUGAUGCAGCCCAUGAUAUCCGGCUACCGUUUGAUAUACAUGGAUUCGUAAAGCUACUAGAUCGGGGGUGUCAGUCCCUACGCUUUGAUCAAGUUAAGUCAGCAGUAAUCUAUGUUAUAUCUUAUCAUAUCAUUUCUUUCACAAGGAUAGCUCUUAAUAUAGUUUAGCUCUUGUGGAAGAAAUGAUAUGAUAUUUCACCCAAAGCAUAAAGACCCAAUUCAUAACAUAUAAUCAAGGGGAAACGUUCGGCUGAUUUUUGACAACACGUCCGAUUUUUUGUUGAGUGACGCGUGAUAAAGGCGUAGAGCUCAGAAAGCACGUUGUGCAUCUUUGCAUGUGGCUGCUCCCCACAGGCUAUCGUGAUUUUCUUGAACGCCAUCAUGUGUCUUGCUGCACUUUAGCUGCAUGCUACUGCGGUGGGCACGAGCCAGUCACACAGCGACGGUGCUACCAGGUCGCGUCACUGCUAUGCCCCGCUGGUGGCCGGCGAUGCUGGGACGAUGUGGGCUGUAAGUCACUGCCUCUGCUGUAUGCAUCAGUAGACUGCUGCAACGAAGGGUCGCUCGUCCCUCAAAGCAUCGUCGGCCGUUGGCGUUGCAACGGAGCGUCGCUGGUCAGCGGGCCACCGGAACAUCAGCGGCGCUGCAACGGAGCGUCGCCCGUCCGUCAAAGCAUUGUCGGGCGUCGGCGUUGCAACGGAGCUUCGUCGGACCACCGAAGCAUCGCUGGCACUGCAACAGAGUGUCAGCGGGCCACCGGAGCAUCGUCGGCACCGCAACGGGGCAUCAUUGAGCCGUCGAAGCACCACCGACGCUGCAACGGAGUAUCACCGGGCUAUUGAAGGAUCGUCGACACUGCAACGGAGCAUCGUCGGGCAGCCGAAGCAUCAUCGACGCUGCAAUGGAACAUCACCGGACAGCCGAAGCAUCGUCGAUGCUGCAACGUAGCAUCUUCGGGCCACCGGAGCAUCACCGGAGCUACAAUGGAGUGUCGCCGGGCCACUGGAGCAUCGUCGGCGCUGCAACGGAGCAUCGUCGGGCAGCAAAAGUAUCGUCGACACUGCAACGGAGCAUCACUUCGUACUCGGGCAUGGCGACGAGUAGCCCCGGCGAGUCGUCGGGGUCGCCGUCCUCGCGGAGGACGAACUGUUCCGGCGGCACUUCGUACUCCGCCGUGACAGCCGGGGCCAACAUCGAGGCCGCCGGCGGUGGGUGGGGGAUCGCCGCCCGACGGCGACGCGGGAUGCCGCCUGCCGUUGACGGCUGCUGACGUCAUAGUAGCUCUUUCCAUCCCAAAAGUCGUGCCGGCCGCGGAUGUUGUAGCGGCCGCCGGGAUGGAUCCGGAGUUGCUCCGACGUCGCGGGGUUGUCCAGCGUCGGGUAGCCGUCCUUGCAAAUCCUUCACGGUUUUGCGAGGCGGCACCCCGGCGGGACGAGGAGGCCGUAGCCGUAGAGCUCCUCCGUCAGCGGCUUGUCGAGGCUCUGGGGCCAGUUGCUCUCCGACGCGCCGCCGCCGCCGGCGUGAGCCAUCGUCGGGACGACGGAGAACGGGGGAGGGAGGAAGAGAACGUCGGGAGCAACGGCGGGACGACGGAGAGCAGGGGGGAGAAGGAGAGCAGGGGAGCGACGGGUGUGCCGAUGAGCCGCGGGACGACGGGUAUAUAUAGGGCAGCGACGGGAGGGGAGGCGACGGGUAGCUGGCCGGCGUAACUCCCCCGGAGUGAAUGCGCGUCGCCUCGGGAGCCGUCGAACCAGCGGGCCAGCGGCGACGACAUCAGAAACCGACGCGACCGGGCUCUGACGACGCGGUCGCCAUUAAUGGCGUCGCCUCGGGAGCCGGCGAACCAACGGGCUAACGGCGGCAUCGGGAACCGGCGUGACGAACUGGCGACGGGCGCUGACGCGGCGAUUAAUGGCGUCUUCGAAAACCGACGCGACGAGAUGGCGACGGGGCGCUGACGCGGUGGUUAAUGGCGGCGGCUUCGGGAACCGACGCGAACUGGCGACGCAACGCGGGAUUAAUGGCGGCGGCUUCGGGAACUGACGGGAACUAGCGAUGCAGCACGGGAUUAAUGGCGCGGCCUCGGAAACCGACGGAUUGACCAUGGUCAGACCGACGUGAAGACGUCACGUCGCAACGGGUGGACGCGGGUACGACGCGUAUUCUGGGGCUCCUGUACGUCGCCAGUUCGUCAGCUGGCGCCCGUCGGGCUGACGUGCGUACGUCGGGACGGGGAAAAGACCAUCCUGCCCUUUGUUACGAAGGGGUAUCGUUUAAUCUCAGCCGUCCUUGUGUUUGGGGGUUGUAUCGAAGAAGAAGUGUCACAACAAACUAGUAGCAACAGAAGGCUGCGUGAUGAAAAAAGAACUAAACAUGUAUAGACAAUGGCAUUCCCAUAAAGAGCAAAAGAUUCAUAGGAUGCUUGGAUACGUUUUAGUCCCAUGACUAAAAGUAGUGGGACUAAAACUUGCUAGCCUCAUCCAUGCUUGGAUCCAAAUACUAAAGAGAUUAAAAUCAAGUUAAUGAGCAUUUAUUAUCCUCCAAAUCCUUCAAUCCUGAACUCGCAUGUGUUAAAGGAGAGGAGUUAAAUGAGGAGAGAGAGGACUAAUGCACAUUUUAGUAGGGGUACCCCUUACUAAAAGAUUUUAGCCUCAAGACUAGUUUUAGCCUCUCUUUAGUCAAGGGUACUUGAAACUUUAGCCUCUUAAAAAGAUUAUUUUUAAUCCCUUGAAUCCAAGCACCCUCUCAAUAAAGAGAAACAGAGGAUUGUGGACUCACAAGGACAACUUGAUGGUUGCAGGACCACUGGUAUAGUGUAGUGCACCUACACAACUGGAGCGGCUAAAAACUCAAAACACUUAAGCAGCCUAAGACAACAUUCAUGGUAACAAUAUAUUAAGUGCUUCAAUUAGUUAAUACUUUCGCCAUCCCAUAUUAGUUGGCCGGGGGCUCGGUUCCUCCUUUUCCAAAAAAAAUCCCAUAUUAGUUGUCGAUUAAACGGAUGUACCUAGCACUGGGAUACGUCUAUAGAUGCGUCCAUUUCAGUGACAACUAAUAUGGGACGAAGGGAGUACUUCAUUAUACCAUAACAAAGCAACACUAGAGGUCCGUGGAGCAACCUCUGGAGGCAGCAAAUUAAUCUUGAUACAGGAGUAAAGCAAUAGAGACCAACAUAGGGCAAACAACGCUGAUCGGUAGAGCGCUACGGGUCUAGGGCAUUUGCUGAUCAGAGGGGGAAGGGACACUACAAAAGAGACCGAUACAGAGAGCAGGCAGUGUACACUAGCUACUAAAUGAAGUGCAACCAGGCGGAAUAUGUAUUGCUUCACAGGUAAGAGUAAAUAGCAAAAAACAAAACAUGCAUAUCCAAGAGAGAGCUAAGCAAAGGCAAUAAUGCUACGUACCUCUGUUCUAAAAUAACUGUCUCAACUUUGUACUAGAGCUAAACAAAGGCAAUAUCGCUACGUAAUUAAUGAUGUUCUCCCUCCGUUCCAAAAUAUAAGACCUUUUAGGGAUUUCACUAGAAGACUACAUACGGAACAAAAUGAGUGAAUCUAUACUCUAAAAUAUGUCUAUGUACAUCCGUAUGUAAUUUAUAGUACAAUCUUUAAAAUGUCUUAUAUUUAGGAACGGAGGGAGUAUGUGAGAAGGUACAUACCAAGAGAGCUUACCUGAUGGCCUUUCAAGGUAUUUAGAGAAGACGGUUGGAAGUAGGGGCGUGUUAGGAAACUUGCUUUUGUGAUCUUUGACAUCCAAGGACCGUUGAUUGACAUAUACUCCCUCCGUUCCUAAAUACUCCCUCCGUUCUAAAAUAUAAGACAUUUUAGGUAUUUUAUUAGAAGACUAUAUACGGAGCAAAAUGAGUGAAUUUAUAAAUAUGUCUAUGUACAUCCGUAUGUAGUUUAUAGUACAAUCUUUAAAAGUCUUAUAUUUAGGAACGGAGGGAGUAUAAGUCUUUAAAGAAAUUUCAUUAAUGGACUACAUAUGGAUGUAUAUAGACAUAUUUUAGAGCAUAGAUUCAUCUUUUUUGCUCCGUAUGUAGACUUCUAGUGAAAUAUCUUAAAAGACUUAUAUUUAAGAACGGAGGGAGUAUACAGGGAGUACACGACAGCAGAGAUGGAUGCCUCACCAUCAAAGUCCUCCUUCCUUAACAGGCAGCGCAGAACAUCUGGGUCAAGAGCGCUGAUGAUUGGGUACUCGGGAAGACGCCGAGGAUUGACAAAAAGACCAUCCAGGUCGAUCGCACUCGAACCUGGAGUUACCACCCAUCAUGUUCAAAGUCGAAAUGGUGAUCUUUCGGAGAGGCUGUUGCCCUCCCCUCCCCAAUGGCAGCCAUUGUGCAGUUCAUUGUCAAUGUGGACGAAGCGCAUCUUGCCUUGGCUGAUGGACAAGCUUCGGAAUCUCUGCGCGAAGCACCUUUCGGCCCGUACCUCGGCAUCUCAUACACUUGUUCUCCAGGAAAAGGCACGAAGUGGGGACAAGUCAGACGACAUAUUGGAGAAGUCAGACAGGAGGACACCACUGAAGUAGUCAACCCAGCACAUCGAAAGCGAGCACAUGGUCGGUUGACCAAUGGCAAUGGGAGGGAAACUGGCCAUUGCUCUGACCCUGCGGCUGCGGGGCAUCCUUCAUGAAGGGUCUCCAUAUUCCUGACUCGGAGUUGGCAUGCAUGGAAUAAUUGCCAGCGUCCUCCUUUUCCCCGUAGAGGAUGAGGUCGAUCGGCAACGAUGUACUGUACUACGUAGCACUUGGAUGCCUGUGGUGAAUUUACUCAUGAGGAACGGCCUCCUCCUGUCCUCGGUGUAGGUGUAGAGAGGGAGCUGCUCAACCGAGGGGGAAGGGGAAGGAGCGGUGGCCGUGUAGACGAAGAGAUCUGGCGGGGCGCCGAGUCUUGCUCGGGAUGGAGACAUGGAAGAGGACGAUCGAGGUCCUUGUCGACUGCCCGGACGUAGGCAUAUAUAGGCAGGAGCCAUGGUGGCUGAGCCUCGUCGCUUGCAUAUAUAGGCAGGAACCAUGGUGGCUGAGCCUCGUCGCUUGGGCCAGGCCAGUGGAGAUCGAAGUAGCUAGGAGGCCCCCACUUAUGGUUGUGGAUGAGUCGUGGCCGCUGUCCAUGUUGACUUGAGCAGUUGUGAAAGGAUGCAUGCGUGCAUGUCCCCGCACCUACAUGUCCCUACGAAUUUCAGACAAUCAGACCAGCCGCCUAACAUAAGAGAGAGAGAAAAAACGGUGGGCGAACACAACCUGAGAUUGAGGUCAGGACGAAGAAAGCCUUGAGUUUUUUUUUUUUUUUAAAGGGCGUCCUUUAUUAACUUAUAAUGAAGCAUCAAAGAAAGAGAAAACACCACAUGGUCACGCAAGAGGAACCGACUGACAGGUGCAGGCAGCAACAAUUCUAGACCAUACAGCUAUGAGAGCUUCCCAAUUCAAGAGAGCUUAGAAAUAUUUGGGAUGCUCAUCAGUACAUCAUGAUUAGAUGAUCCAGAAACAUGCAUUGUCUACUCUAAUAGAUAUAGGUAUUCAUCAGUACAUCAUCUUCAUCACAUAAAUGCGGAUUUUGCCCUAUUGACUUCGUUCUGCCUGCAAUGCACCAUUAAGGAUUUAAUACAAACAUCAUCUUCGAUACGGGCGACACCAAAGUGAUCAACACCAUGUCACCAGAUUCCAUUUCUUUACGCUGCACACUUAGUCUUACGCUUCUUUGGAACAAACCUUACAGACGUGAGAUUAUGCUUCCUUGAAAGACGAGUUGCAACCUUGUCAUUGUCCAAUGCCACCCCUUUGAAAAUAGAAAUAAAAACAACUCAGAUAUAUACACCAUCUGAACAUCUUGCGAGCGGUAUGGGAAGAUGAGAUGAUUGCAACUUAAUAAAUGAUGUACACAAUAAUUGUUCAAAAAGAAGGAAUAGACAAAGAGAAAUGAUAUUGCAAUGGAGUAUAUUGAUAAAGAAACGUAAUGGCAUCAUAUCCUUGAUUUGGUUUCAGAUCGUAAUGACUCCAUAACUCUUUUCCAUUGGCUCUCAGCUAACUUGUCAUCAAAGUGUUAUCUGAGAACACCACAUUAGCCAUGAUGUGACGUUUGUGGCAUGAAUGAGCAGGUAUCACCUUUGUCAAUCAGCUGGAAGGACUACAAUGGACACGCGGGGGAUUGGUGGCGACCGUGCUGCAGACAAGGCCAGCACAGGGGUGCUAUAUUCAGGUGGCAAAAGGCUGAAGGCAGCAAGAAAGCAGCAAACUCAAGAUACAUGGAGUCCCCACAAACAGUCCACGUACAAAGGACGUCGGAUUAGGGAUGACGAGAUGUAGAAGUCAGUCGGAAGGCUUGUAGCCAGAAUCAAGCCAAAGACAGUAACAUGAGAAGGCCAGCAAGGCUAACGCUACAGGAGUUUUACCUAAUGACAUUCCCAUGCAGGGAGAACGGCUUUUCCUUGGCCGAGUAUCCAGUUACACACGGGUAUAAAAGGUACAUAAUAUCAGAAUCAAAAGGAUUCCAACAGGAACAGCCAAAGAUGUGGCCUGGUUGAUCCAAUGUAACCAAAACAAAACUCAUUCUAAAACUUUUAACAACAGAAAAAAAUAUGUGUUAAAAUCAUCGUAUAUCAUCUUCUAAAGGUACAAGAUACAUUUGAUCCUACAGAGAACAUAGAGGACAGUAUAGUCUUAUCCUUCACCAGAGCAAUUAAAAUAGUGUGGUUCCUAGAAUUCGCUUCAAAACAGCAAACAAGAGUAGCAGCAACAAAAGGCUGCAUGAUGAAUCAAGCACUACACGUGUACAGAUAAUGGACAGUCCCAUAUAAAGAGCAAAAGAUCCAGCAUGCAUGGAAAGACAGGAGGAUUCUAGGCUCUCAAAGACAACUUGAUGACAGAAGGACCAGAGCUAUUAUAUUGAUAUAUAUACAGUGUAGUGCACCUACACAUAACACAACUGGAGCGUCUAAAAUUGAAACGCUUCAACAGCCCAACAGAAGGUUCAUGGUAACAAUAUCCUAAAUGCUUCAAUUAAUUAACAUGUUACUAUUUUUUGUUGAGGGGUAAUUAAUGAGCAUAUUACUAUUAACACAGGCACACUAGAGGUCGGUGAUGAAGGCGGGACAUUGAAAAAUCUGAGACAAGAAUAGCAUCCGGCACAAAGCCCUGAUAAGUAGAGUGUACGGGGUCUAUAUAGAAGUCAGAUAGUUGCUGAGAAUCGUACGCCCAACCAGGCAGCACGUGAGUUGAAUCAUACUUCUUCCUCUGUACUGAAAUACUUGUAGUUGGGGGAACUUGUACUAGUUUCCCCCAGCUACAAGUACUUGGGUAAAGAGGUAGUAGAUUCAUAGGUAAGAUAACAAAUAAGCAAAAAAGACCAGUGUUACACUACCAUAUCCAACAGAAAGCUGAGCAAAGGCGACCAUGUUAUGUAAUACUGUAUGCAAGUACUGUAGGUAAAAGACAUAAUUUGGGUACUUAUACAAGUGAGCUUCUUGUAGCUAGUUACCUGUUGGGCUUUCAAGGUCAAGGUGUUUGGAGAAGACAGUUGGAAGUAGGGGCAUAUUGAGGAAAUCGUUUUUGUCAUCCACGCACUCAGAACAGCCCGCAUCCUGGCACUCAGCACAGUAGGACUGUAGAUUGAUAUAUUGAGUACAUGACUUGAGUUUCGCAUGCUUCAUGUCAAGCAUGAUCAUCCACCCCUUGCCAUGAAAUUCCUUCUCCCUUAACAGGCAGCAUAGAACAUCCGGGUCAUCCACACUGACGAUUGGGAACUCGGGAAGACGCUGUUGUAUGAGCAGAGCUUUGUAACGGCGUUGCGCCCAAAGAGCAUCCAGGUUGAUCAUGGCAUGUGGCUCCCAGUUGAACUUGUCGGAGUUCAAAGUCCAAACGGUGAUUUUUUGGGGACCCUGAUGCUGCUGCCCUUGGCUUGUUAUGGGAGGAAGCUGAUGCCAUGGCGAGUCCUCGUCGUGGAUUCUCUCAUGGAAGUCAUUGUCAAUGUGGACAAAGCGCAUCUUGCCUUGGCUAAUGGACACACUUCGGAACCUCCCCGGGAAGCGCCUUUGGAGCCGUAGCUCGUCAGGGUAUUCUUGUUCUCCAGGGAAAGGUACGUAGUGGAGGGGACCCAGCACAGGAAACGGUGGUCGAAAGCGAGCACGUCGUCAGUUGACCAGAGAUUGGGGAGCUGGCCACUGCUCUGCUUCUGCUUCUGCUUGGGUGCGUGCCAACGUAUCAGGCCAGGCAUAAUGGGGAAGAUUGUCCACUCUUCAGUCGGGGAGGAGGAGUCCAAGAAGCAGAGUGCACGAUCCAGGACACUGAGGUCGGCAACGAUGUAGCGCUUCUCCGAGACCCGCAAGAUGCCUGUGGCAAAUCUAUCCAGCAGGAACCACUGCAUGCCUUUUCCUCCUCAGUGUACCGAGGGAGCUGCUGCACCGAGGGGGAAGGACCGGCGGCCGUGUAGACCAACAGAUCUGGCGGGGCGCCCGGGUAGGGAAUCCGGCUACUGUCGUAGAUGUCGAAGAGGACGAGGUCCUUGUCGGUUGCCCGGACGAAGGAACAGGCAUCGUCGGAUCCUUCUCCCACCGGACAGUGGAGGUUGAGGUAGGAGACCCCAUUCGGAGCCGCGAGGGUGAAGGACACGUAGCAGGAGCGGUUGCGGCGGGUCAAUGCGGAUGCGAGCGGCGGACUUGUUCUUGCUGACAACCAGACGGGCGGCGUCUAGGUCCUUGUGGCAGCGGGUGCGGCCGGAGCGAUCCAGCAUCGCCCAGUCGGGGAAGAAGGCGGUCUCCUCCAUCGCCCAAUCGGUGAAGACGUCGGCCUCCUCCACGGCCCCACUAGCUGCUGCGCCGCGUGAGGCGUGCCGCUGCAGUGCAAGGUAGGCACUUUGUUCUUUUCUCUUGUUUAUUUGUGAUUUGUGUGAUGCAUCAUCAUGCAAGCGAUGAGAGCCUUUUCAACAAAAUAUAUAGGCUGUUCACGUGAGAACAAACCGCAUCAUAUGCAAUAGUAUAGUCAGGUGCAAGUUGCUGGUUGAAAAAAAAGAAAAAAAAAUCGGCAACUGAUGAUAGGCUGUUUUGACGAGAAAUAUAUUGGUGGUUAGUAGAAUUAAGCUCCCAUGACUUGGUCUUCAGAUUUGUAAACGAUUAUCAAAGAAUAUAAGAUUCCUAGAAACAACAGAUGAGAAAUAAGUAUACUAAGUGAUUGUCAAACGACCAACGCUGAGCCCCGCCACCUCGUCCAUCGUUGUUGCCAACGAUGGGGAUGAGCCCCUGAACCUCAUCAUCACGCCCAGAUUAUCUUCUCCUCCCACUCUGAUUCCUCCGUUGGAAGCUCAUUCCUGCAAGGAUGCCAUCUCUGUCGCCCUUUUUCUUGGCCUGACAGCGCGAGUCCAGUAGCAAGCAAAAGGUGAUACAAACAGAUACCAAGAUGAGAAUGCAUGAUACAAGGCACCAUGCCUUUAUCUGUUAGAUCUGGAAUGCAAAGAAAACAAAAAUAAACAAGUAAAUUUCAUCAAAGUAGUAAUGCAUCAAAGUUGUAUCUAAGAGUUAUGAUUUAUAAGGCUUAGCUACACAAUUCUUUUCGAGAAAAUAUUUAUACAUAAAAAUGGCAAGAGAAAUGUUGCAUUGUUCACAACAUGGUUAGAGUGACAUGGCUUCCAAUGUUACAAAUCAGUCGCCAAAUGUUUUCAUUUGACAUUGACAUAACAGAAGGUUGGUAAAUAUCAUGAAAUGCUUUCCCCUUAAACAAUUAUGUUUCUGACAGGAAACAUUUGAUGAUAUCAAUCUUUUUUCGGUUAUGACAAUCAUUUUUCUUGUUAGUCCUGACGACACCUUUGAUUUCAACAUCUUAUCAAAUUGUUGCAAAUGACUAAUGAUCUAUAGCACAAACAGAUCCAUUAGAAGAAUGUCGUUACCAGAAAUUUGAUUUCGGCAUCUUAUCAGACUGUUGUUGGUCCUGACCACACCUUCGUAUAGUGUUACCUUUCUUGCACAUGAGACGCUAUGAUGUGUUUUGAAGUCGUAACUCGGAAUGUCAACAACUUUACCAUGUUUUAGUGUUUCCAUACAAGAGAGUAGUAAAUCCGUACCAAAUGCAUCUCCAAUUAGGACAGGAGCAACAUCAAUAACAAAGUCAGUCCACAUCUCUUGCCAAUAGCACAAAAAGACAUCCGGUUCUCAUGAAACAUGCGUUGUACCUAGAUGAUCAAAGUUAUAAUCACGAAUACAAAGCGUUUCCUCGUUAGACAGUCCGUAAUAAAAUGGCUUUUGUGAUAUUUGAGGUCAAAAUUCUUAUUGCUUGAGAGAUUGUACCAAUCAUACGAUUACAAUAAAAUUAUAGCAAGGGAUGUUGAUAAAAAAUUUGAAAGCAUAGUUAAUGACACUACACACAUAUAAAAGAGGAGAAAUAAACUAUUAGUGAUUUUAUCAAGAAAAACUGGAUUGUCCAAUUACCAUAAGAAGCGUUAUCAUAGUUGUAAUACAUAAAACCCGAGUAAUAACAACUAUACACUGAUUGCAUAGCUGAUUGAAGAUCAUUUUGCAAACAAUAUUUUUACCUCAAGAAAGGAAGAAGGUUUGUUUUCAUCAUAUGAUGGGUGAGGUGCAUUUGGUGUAGAAAGUUUGUACCAUGUAAGCGACUACAAAUUACUGAAUUUCUGCUACCUAAGAGAAAGAACAGAACCCAUCGACUAAUGUCCAUUCUCCAGGCCUCACAUCAUUGGUAGAUCCACCCCCGACAAAGAAUCUUUCAAGUCCAGCUCGUGCAAACGGAGUGCUAGAUGAUGGACCCCAACCGCGGUAGCAUUAAGCACUUCACGUGUCGAGUACGUUCCCAUCUAGUGUUCGACAAACCUAAAUUCAUCUGGAUAUAAAGUAAAAGGGUAAAAUUAGGAUGUUAAAAAGCCACUUAGAUCCACGUCUUGGUGCAAAAGAAUUAUUAAAUGAUUAUACAAGCCUUUAAGAUGAAGAUCCAAACAAAAAAAUGUCCAGAAAUGAUGAGACAUUGCGAUAAAAUAAUUUUGUCUUCUAUAAAUGUACCCUUGAAAAGACAGAAUAUAAGUGUGUGAAAACAGUUUGUCGAGAAGACAAACCUUAUUCCUUUCCUCAGGCGCUAGGCAUACAUUUUGAGAGCUCAUGGCAAGACGAUCGACUUCUCGCACUAUAUCUGAUCCUACUAUCUGUAUGGCAAAAUCAAGGUCACAAACCUGAAAACACCAUGAGCAUAUUUAAGUAACUGGAGCAAUUAACAAAAUGGUCCAGAUCCAAUGGUACCUAUAGCUGAGGCAAUUAGAAAGGAAGCUUCGCAAUUUUCUCCAUCAUUAUAAUCGGAAAAGUCAUGGUCUAGUCACUGGAAUGGCAAUGCCAAGAACUGAAUAAUUUGUUCAAGCAAUUAAAAAGAGCAUCAUGAAUUUUGUCGCACACAAACUCAUGCAUGCUGACUCAACGAUUACUUAAUCCUAAGGGUCUGAGUGCAGGGUCUAAGNNNNNNNNNNNNNNNNNNNNNNNNNNNNNNNNNNNNNNNNNNNNNNNNNNNNNNNNNNNNNNNNNNNNNNNNNNNNNNNNNNNNNNNNNNNNNNNNNNNNGUUCGGAGUCCCGGAUGAGAUCACGGACGUCACGAGGGUUUCCGGAAUGGUCCGAAAACGAAGAUUGAUAUAUAGGAUGACCUCAUUUGAUUACCGGAAGGUUUUCGGAGUUACCGGGAAUGUACCGGGAAUGACGAAUGGGUUNNNNNNNNNNACCGAGGAGUCUCUCGGGUCAUGUCUACAUAGUUCUCGAACCCGCAGGGUCUGCACACUUAAGGUUCGACGUUGUUUUAUGCGUAUUUGAGUUAUAUGGUUGGUUACCGAAUGUUGUUCGGAGUCCCGGAUGAGAUCACGGACGUCACGAGGGUUUCCGGAAUAGUCCGGAAAUGAAGAUUGAUAUAUAGGAUGACCACAUUUGAUUACCAGAAGGUUUUCGGAGUUACCGGGAAUGUACCGGGAAUGACGAAUGGGUUCCGGGAGUUCACCGGAGGGGGGCAACCCACUCCGGGGAAGCCCAUAGGCUUUUGGGGGACACACCAGCCCUUAGUGGGCUGGUGGGACAGCCCCAAGGGAGCCUAUGCGCCAAGAUAAGAAUAUCAAAGGAAAAGAAAAAAAAAGGGAAGAAGUGGGAAGGGAGGGGGACUCCUCCCACCAAACCAAGUCCAACUCGGUUUGGGGGGGGAGUCCUCCCCCCCUUGGCUCGGCCGACCCCUUGGGGAUCCCUUGGACCCCAAGGCAAGGUCCCCCUCCCUCCUCCUAUAUAUAUGGGGCUUUUAGGGCAGAUUUGAGACGACUUUCUCACGGCUGCCCGACCACAUAUCUCCAUAGUUUUUCCUCUAGAUCGUNNNNNNNNNNACACCAGACCUUAGUGGGCUGGUGGGACAGCCCAAAAGGGCUCUAUGCGCCAAGAAGAGAAAAUCAAGAGAAAAAAAAGGAGGAGGUGGGAAGGAAGGGGGACUCCCUCCCACCAAACCAAGUCCAACUCGGUUUGGGGGGGGGGGGNNNNNNNNNNNNNNNNNNNNNNNNNNNNNNNNNNNNNNNNNNNNNNNNNNNNNNNNNNNNNNNNNNNNNNNNNNNNNNNNNNNNNNNNNNNNNNNNNNNNCACUCUAUAUAAGCCGCCCUUCACCACUGGUACAGGGGUUGGCACUUGCUGUAAUCCCUUAAGACACUCGACACAAAGCUCCCAAGAGCACUGAGACGUAGGGCUUUUACCUCCACCGUAGAGGGGCCUGAACUCAUACAUCCUCGCCGUAGCUAAGGCUAUGCCCAUAUACUUUUGUACCCCGUACUUCUACUGUCAGACUUAUACCCACGACAGUUGGCGCCCACCGUGGGGCAGGCGUCUAAGCGACUUCGGGCGAGUUUGCGAUUUCAUCUUUUCGUCAUAUGUCAUCCGGCGGAGAUCUGUGCAUGGGUCAUGAGAUCCUCUUCGGUGCACUUUCCUUCAUCGCCGAUGAUUCGGCAUGGCUUUAGGAUGCGCCCCUCGACAUCGAGACGCUUCCGAGUCGCGGGGCUACGCACUUCUGUGCCAGUUCCUGCGGUGUUCUUCUUCUCCAGCCAUCGACCCCGGUGUCAAUCUUCGCCCCCGUCACGCGCCGCAACAAGCGAUCCGGUCGUUCGCGGCUCCAGCGUUGGGUGCGACACGCCCUAGCGCGACAAAACAUGUCCUCUCAAGUGGCGGUGCUCGAAUUGAUUGUGGUCCUGCGGUCAUCCCAGUGCUUGGAGUCAGUUCCGACUGAACUACCUUCCGAGUAUCAGGGUCACGGGCCUGCAGCCGAAGUACUCAUGGCCGAUUCCCACGAAAGUCCCUCCGGGACUGGUCGGAACGAGCAUGAGAUCGGAGAAUCAUCCGGCGCUCGUCGUUAGCACCCUCGUUCUUCCAGUCGACGCGUUCGUCAGAGCAACGUCGAGGUGUUCCGCACACCCAUCCUCAACUUGGCUGCAGCCGCCAGGAUCGCUGAUUCUCUCCAGCCGAUUGAUUCGGAGGCUGGUAGAGGAAUCGAGCAGAUCCGUGCCUUGUUACACACGACGCAGCAGCAAAACUCAGCGGUCUCCCAGUCGCACAACAAGAUCCACAACAGUUCCGUUCAAGCGAACACACAUCGGUCGGUUUUCAGUCCCGGCUCUCACCAGCGUCGCAGAGGGGGCAGCCUCUGGAACGAUCGUUCCAGGGACCAGAGUCGGAAUCCGCCUUCCAUUCGGUCUCAUCCCGAAGAUCGUCGCCGUUCGCGUACUCCUCCGCGGAGUGGGCCUUACGGACCCCGGCAUUACGAUGAUCGUCGUUCGGGCGGUGACGCGCAUGAUCAAAGGCCUGAUGCAAGAGGGUAUAUCACCCAGAAGAAGGUUGAUAGAAGCCGAGCCCACCGUGGUGGUCACGAUAGAGAUCAUCCGAGUGGAAGCAGGACCGUUGUUUCUGGUCCCGAGUGUUUCAGUCGGGCCAUUCGCUCGGCUGACAUCCCUCCCAACUUCCGAUUGGCGACGGGAAUCAGCAAAUUCAUAGGAGAGUCCAAACCAGAAACUUGGUUAGACGACUACAGAGUGGCGGUCCAGAUCGGUGGCGGAGAUGACCAUAUCGCCAUGAAACAUCUCCCACUGAUGCUCGACGGUUCGGCUCGAGCUUGGCUAAACCAGUUAGCUCCAUCAAGCAUUUACAGUUGGGCAGAUCUGUCCCGAGUCUUCAUCAGGACCUUCGAGGGUACGUGCAAACGCCCUACUAGUCUCACAGAGCUUCAACAUUGUGUCCAAAAGCAAAACGAGCCCUUGCGCGAUGUCAUCCAGCGCUGGACAACCCUCUACCACACGGUGGAGAAUGUUAGAGAACACCAAGCAGUCCGCGCCUUCAAGGCAGGCGUUCGGUACAGAGAUCUAUACCUGAAGUUUGGUCGGACAGGCGACAUCUCCAUGAGCAAGAUGAUGGAGAUAGCCGUGCGCUAUGCGAAUGGCGAAGAGGAGGACCGCAUAUGUAGCGGCAAGCAUAAGUCAGAAGCUGACGGAGAUGGGAGCAGCAGUCGGAAGCAGAAGCAGAAAGCCCAAUCCACUCUGCAAGCAGAGGCGGCAGUCGUUACAAACACUAAGUCCAAAGGCAAGGGGAAACCACAGUACACCCCCAAGAAGAAACAGUUAGGAAAUUCCAUCCUAGAUCAACCGUGUCCGAUCCACACGAAGAUGGAUGAAGAAGGCAAUGUCAUAUUGCCGAAACAUACCACUCGGCAGUGUCGCCUCCUGAUCCAAGGAUUCGGUGCAGGACAGCCGAGUGAGAAAGACUCCGAGCAAGAUGAUGAGGACAAGGAGGAUCCGUUCCCUCAAGUCCAUGCAACGUUAAUGAUUUUUGCUGAUGUAGAAAGCAAAAGUCGACUGAAGCUGGUCAACAGGGAGGUAAACAUGGCAACCCCAUCCACUCCCACGUUCCUCAAGUGGUCACAGACUGCAAUCACUUUUGAUCAGUCAGACCACCCAGCACACGUACCCACCCCAGGGAGGCAAGCUCUGGUCGUCGACCCGGUGGUGGAAGGAGUUAGGCUGUGCAAAGUCCUCAUGGACGGCGGCAGCGGCUUGAAUAUCAUGUACGCUGAUACUCUCAAGGGAAUGGGCAUUCCGAUGUCCAGACUUAGCGAGAGCAGUAUGCAAUUCCAUGGAGUCGUCCGAGGAAGAAAGGCCAAAUCACUCGGCCAGAUUGCGUUGGAUGUCGUUUUCGGCUCCGACAAGAACUUCCACAAAGAGAAGUUAACAUUCGAGGUGGUAGACUUCCAGAGUGCAUACCAUGCCAUUCUGGGCCGUCCGGCAUAUGUACGUUUCAUGGCCCGUCCAUGUUACGUAUAUUUGAAGCUGAAGAUGCCUGGUCCCAAAGGCGUGAUUACUGUCAUAGGCAAUCGGCAGCGGGCCGAGGAGUGUCUGCAGCAGGGGUCGAGAAUUGUAGACCAUCAGAUGGCUGUACUCGAGUUGGAUGAGUACAAGAAGAUUGCCGACCCCGCCGACCUGAUGCGUUCAAAUAAGCCACCUUCCGAGUCCGCAUUCCAGCCGGCGGGAGACACGAAGAAAGUAAGCAUCCACCCGACGGAUGCCACCGCCGCCCCAACAAACAUAUCCACCACCCUUGAUCCAAAAUAGGAAGCCGAGCUCAUCCAAUUCCUCCGUGAGAACUAGGACAUUUUUGCAUGGAAGCCUGCUGACAUGCUAGGUGUACCCAGGGAGUUGGCUGAGCACCGACUGCAUGUGGAUCCUGCCGCUCGGCCCGUCCGAGAACGCCUGCGUUGGUCCGCCGCGCACAAGAGAAAAGCAAUCGGAGAGGAGGUAGCUAAACUUCUGGCAGCCAACUUCAUUCGCGAGGUACACCACUCCGAGUGGCUAUCUAAUGUUGUCAUGGUGCCCAAGAAGGACAAGUCUCUUCGUAUGUGCAUGGAUUUCAAGCACCUUAAUAAGGUCUGUUCGAAAGACCACUUCCCUCUCCCCCGCAUUGAUCAAAUCGUUGAUUCGACUGCGGGCUGCGAGUGCUUAUCCUUCGUUGAUGCCUAUUCGGGCUAUCAUCAGAUCCGUCUGUAUGGUCCAGAUGAAUUAAAAACAUCUUUCAUCACCCCAUUCGGGUGCUUCUGUUACAUCACUAUGCCAUUCUGUUUGACAAGUGCAGGAGCAAUUUUUAUGCGAAUGAUCCAAAAAUGCCUCCUAGACCAGAUUGGUUGAAAUGUGGAGGCAUAUAUGGACGAUAUCAUAGUCAAGUCACACAAAGGUUCCGACCUGCUGACUGACUUGGUAGAAACAUUCGCCAACCUACGUAGGUACGAUAUCAAGCUCAACCCAGCCAAGUGUUCAUUCGGCGUUCCCAACGGGAAGUUACUCGGUUUCUUCGUUUCCGAACGAGGGAUCGAUGUCAACCCCGAAAAGAUCGGGACCAUUGUUCGAAUGGAGCGGCCGGUAAGAGUACAUGACGUACAAAAGCUCACAGGUUUCCUAGCGGCUUUGAGCAGGUUUGUCGCUCGACUCGGCGAGAAGGCGUUACCUCUGUACCGACUCAUGAAGAAGUCGGAUACCUUCGAGUGGACAGACGAAGCCCAAACCGCAUUCGACGACCUCAAAGCCCUGCUUUCCACCCAGUCGGUUCUUACUGCCCCGCUCAGUAAAGAACCCCUUCUUUUGUACAUCGCGGCUACAAAUCAAGUCGUCAGAACCGUUCUGACAGUCGAAGGUGAAGAAGAAGGCAAAGCGUACAAGGUUCAGCGGCCAGUAUAUUGUGUUUCCAAAGUCCUGACUCCUUCCAAGCAGAGGUAUCCCCAUUAUCAGAAGCUUAUUUAUGGGAUCUACAUGACUGCAAAGAAGGUGGCUCAUUAUUUCCAAGACCACUCGGUAUCUGUCAUAUCUGAUGCUCCGUUGUCGGAAAUUCUCCACAAUCGGGACGCAUCAGGCCGAGUGGCAAAGUGGGCAAUGGAGAUGCUAUACUGCGACAUCAAGUUCGAAGCCAAGAAAGCUAUAAAGUCUCAAGCUCUUGCUGACUUCAUAGCAGAAUGGGUAGAACAACAGCAACCGACUCACAUCUACUCGGCUCAUUGGACCAUGUUCUUCGAUGGGUCCAAGAUGUUGAAUGGCUCCGGCGCCGGCGUAGAGCUCAUAUCCCCGAAAGGUGAUAAACUCAAGUAUGUGUUGCAGAUCCAUUUUGAUUCUUCCAACAACGAAGCAGAGUACGAAGCUCUCCUUUAUGGGUUGCGCAUGGCCAUCAUACUCGGCGUCCGUCGCCUGAUGGUCUAUGACGACUCAGAUCUAGUGGUUAAUCAAGUAAUGAAGGAGUGGGAUGUAAGGAACCCCACCAUGACUGCAUACUACAACGCAAUAAGAAAGCUCGAAAAGAAGUUCGAAGGUCUGGAACUUGACCAUGUUCCCCGACUGAAAAACCAAGCAGCAGAUGAAUUGGCAAAACUUGGAUCCACACGGAGACCUGUGCCGAGUGAUGUCUGCCUCGAGCACCUAUACCUCCCCUUGGUAAAAGAAGAUUCUUUUACAGAGGAACCUGUGCAACCGAAGAGCUCAACAGAUCAGACUGAAGUCGAGGUUCCCGCUGUGGUUGACCUGGUCAUGGAGAUUCUAGCUGUCAUUCCCGAAUGGACUGUGCCAUUCAUUGCGUACAUCCUGAGGCAAGAGUUACCGGAAGACGAGGUCCAAGCUAGGCAGAUCGUUCGCAGGUCGAAGUCCUUCACCGUCGUUGAUGACCAGUUAUACAGAGAAAGUGUUUUAGGCGUCCUUGAACGGUGUAUCUCUCCUGAGGAGGGUCGGUUAAUUUUGAAAGAAAUUCACUCGGGAACCUGCGGCCAUCAUGCCUCCUCAAGGGCAAUCAUUGCCAAAGCAUUCAGAGCUGGUUUCUUCUGGUUGCAGGCGAAUGAAAUGGCAAAAGAUAUAGUCGACCAUUGCGAAGGUUGUCAGUUCUAUUCAAACAAGUCCCACAAGCCAACGUCCGCGCUGAAGACAAUUCCCCUUUCUUGGCCAUUUGCCGUGUGGGGAUUAUAUACAGUCGGACCAUUCAGAACAGGCCAAGGAGGAUUCACCCAUCUGCUGGUAGCAGUCGACAAGUUUACCAAGUGGAUUGAAGCCAAGCCAAUCAAGAAGCUUGAUGCCCUUACGGCCAUCAAAUUUAUCACAGACAUCAUCGCCAGAUACGGGGUUCCACACAGCAUAAUCACCGACAAUGGCACAAACUUUAACUUGGACGAGUUCAAAGGUUUUUGCGCAGGCCAAGGUAUCCGAGUGGAUUUUGCAUCCGUUGCGCACCCCCAAACAAAUGGACAAGCGGAGCGGGCGAAUGGACUCAUUCUUCAAGGGUUGAAGCCUCGACUCCUGCGGGAAGUUGGACAUGCCGCCAGCGCAUGGGUCACCGAGCUGCCUUCGGUGUUGUGGGGCCUCCGAACAACUCCAAAUAGAUCGACAGGACGAUCCCCGUUUUCCUCUUUUAUGGAGAAGAGGCAGUCCUUCCGAGUGACUUGCUUCACAACUCUCCACGAGUCGAACUCUUCUCCGAAGCCGAAGCAAAGCAAGCCAGGCAAGACGGAGUAGACCUUUUAGAAGAGGAGCGCGAGAUGGCAUUGAUCCGUUCAACAAUUUAUCAGCAAGAUCUGCGUCGAUUUCAUGCGCGGCACGUCAGGAGCCGCACGUUCCAAGCAGGCGACCUGGUGCUCCGAGUGGAUCAACAGAGACCACACAAGUUGGCUCCCUCCUGGGAAGGACCGUUCAUCAUUUCUAAGGUGCUGAACAACGGAGCGUAUCGACUCUACAACCUCAACAGGGAGACAGACGAGCCGCGAGCAUGGAAUGGAGAUCUACUGAAGCGCUUCUACACAUAACCGCCGACAGAGACAAUGUAAAGAACAAAUGUCAUCGAAGUAAUACAAAGCGGAUUAAUUUCUUGCCGAUUCAAAAUUCUUCCGCGUUUGCAGACUCCGGUCUAAAAAACUUACUCCGAGUGUGCACCAAAAGUCACACUCGGAGACUUAGCUGCGAACCAGAGUCGCCUAAGUAAACAACUUGCUCCGAGUAUGCACCAAAAGUCAUACUCGGGGACUUAGCUGCGACCCAGAGUCACCUAAGUAAACAACUUGCUCCGAGUGUGCACCAAAAGUCACACUCGGGGACUUAGCUGCGACCCAGAGUCGCCGAAGUAAACAACUCGCUCCGAGUGUGCACCAAAAGUCACACUCGGGGACUUAGCUGGGACCCAGAGUCGCCUAAGUAAACAACUUGCUCUGAGUGUGCACCAAAAGUCACACUCGGGGACUUAGCUGCGACCCGGAGUCGCCUAAGUAAAAAACUUGCUCCGAGUGUGCACCAAAAGUCACACUCGGGGACUUAGCUGCNNNNNNNNNNAGACUUAGCUCCGACCCAGAGUCGCCUAAGCAAACAACUUGCUCCGAGUGUGCAUCAAAAGUCACACUCGGGGACUUAGCUGCAAACCAGAGUUACCUAAGUAAAGAGCUUCCUCCGAGUGGGCACACAAGUUACACUCGGAGGCUUAGCUGAGUCGCUAAACAAAAACCACGAGCCAAAAUCGUGUCAAAAAAAAACUCAGCGAAAGAAGAGCAAAAGAUCCGGUUCGAAUUAAAAUUGAGUUCAACGAUCAGUCGGCUCGGUGUGAAUCAAGUUUAUCCACACUGAGCCACGAAUGUACCGGCCAACAGCAGUGGCCAAAGUUUAAUACAAACUCCACUCGGCAUACCGAGGUAAAUGCGCGUUCAGCAUAAAGUCAAUCAAGCAUCGUCGGGGCUGGCAGGCUCGACGAAGGUGUCGAGGUCGAUUCCAUCUGCAAUCCGAGUGGCCGUGUCGAGGAAGGUCUCCAUGAAGUCUUCAAAUCGAAGCUUCUUGGUGUUGGCGACCUGCAACAUCUUCAGCUUGUCUUCACGGGCUUCCUUACAGUGCACUCGGACCAGAGACAGCGCCACGUCCGCGCCACACCGAGCGACAGACUUCUUCCAUGCCUGCACUCUGCUUGGAACAUCCUCCAGUCGAGUCAUCAACCCCUCUAUCUCAUUCCAGGAGUCAUCUUCAGGCCACAGCUCUUUGUCAAUUCGGCCGACAACUUCUCUCAGGCGACCAAUGAAAGGACCCACCUUGUUAAGGCGGGAAUUCAGUCCAAAUAUGUCCCGGUUAGCUUCAUCAUCGAGUGGAACAUUCGGUUGCCCAAGCGCCGAUUCAAUUUCGGCGGUCUCGGCUUCAACGUCCCGACAGAAAUCUGCAAAGAAAAGACAGGGAGAAAAUAAGCGUGGAGUGAACUCCAAAGUCAAAGAGCACUCGGCAAGCAACUUACCACCAAGCAGUGCGGCCAUCUUCUUCGCCCAGUCGCCGACGUAUUUCUCCCGUGCUUUGCACCGAGCGUUCAUUGACUUCAGCUGGCCCACCCAUUCGGAUAUCUCCUUCUUCAUAUUUUCUAACUCGGCUAACAGUGCCUUGUUAGUCUCCCGAGAUUCCUCCAAAGAUUUUUCUCGUUCAGUGAGAGCCUUCUUCAUGCCAGCCAUAUCAUUCGCAGCUACCUCCAAGUCGGCAGCAAGUUGAGUCUUCUCAGCCAUCAGAGCAUUAUAGGCCGAUCCCACUUCACAAGUCUUCUGUCAAAGAGACACAAAGGGAGGAUCAGCCAAAUUCAACAAGGAAAAAGUCUCGACAGAUAUGACAAAACAAUCAAAACUCAAGAUUCUUCAGACCCCUGCCGAUGCAAGCAAUCGACAGCGGUCUCGGGGACUACACCCAGUGGGUUCACUGAGAGUGACCCCACUGGUAUGAAGCUCGAACAGGUUGGUCCCAUUGAGCUCCAUAGCAAACCAACAACACUAUGAGACUACUAUUACUCGACCCGAGUAACACUACUCUCGGGGACUACACCUAGUGGGUGCACUCGGCGUGCCCCCACUGGUACCAUUCGGGCAGAUCAGCUCUGAUCUGUAGAGAUUAUGGAAAAUACAUAUAAAGACAACUGCCGGUGCAAACACUUGGCAGAAGUCUCGGGGACUACACCCACUGGGUUUACUCGGAGUGAACCCACUCGAAAAUUAACCUACUGUAUCCGAGUAUGCAGCCAAAACCCCCAGUGGGCACCAAGAGGAAUGUAAACACUUACUAGCGCACUUACUCGGAUAUCAUCCCGAAGCUCCAAGCUCUUCUUGUACAGGGACGCAACGGAGUCAUAUGCUCCCUUGGCUUCGCCCACCAUCAGCUCCACUUGUACCAUGGCGUCCUUGGCGGCUCCUACUUGAUCUUCCGGGAGGCGUCGGGCAUCAUAGUGAACAGUCGACGGACCCGGCGUGGCAGAAGGCGCCCUAGACAUCCCGAGCUCCCUGGGAAUCCCAAGCUCUGCUCCAGUCAGUUCCCCGUGAAGGCCACCGUCUCAGUCGGCGGCACGCUCAUGGCGGGGUUGGCAGCAGGUUGGAUAACCCCAGGGACAGGCGCCAAAGCUGGUUCCGACCCCCUUUGGUCGUCGUCGUCCAGAUGGAUCACCUUCGAAGGAAGCCCGACUGAACAAGAUAAAAAUACAAAAAAAGAUCAAGAUCAAAGACAGCACUCGCGAAACGGUAAUACAGCUCUCGGAGUCGUGACAACGUACCUUGCUGGGACGUGGCGGCGUCAUCAGUGUCCAUGGGAUCGUCACCCUGACACGGCAGAGAGGUGGCGGAGGUAGCAGCUCUGUUGAGUGAAAUCCAUUCGACGAGUAAACAUGAAUUCCCAAAAAGAAGAGUCCAAUCAGAUAUUGAAGGAAGAUGGAAGAGCAAAGAUACUUAUGCUGAGGCGACCGGAACAACGAUCCUCAUCCAGGGCAAAGCUUUCUGAGGUUUAGACCCGCUGGGUUUAGCCACCUUGGACGGCUGAUCCACGGGCUCGGCAGAAGAACCCUUGGUUCUCUUCACACUCCAAGCACUCGGGGCCACGGGAGGAGCUGGCGGAACAACGGGGUCAUGACGGUGCUUGGUUCGGCGUUCUGGUGGUGAGGGUGACGAGCUCUGCUCUUCACUCUCCUCCUCCUCCUCUUCUGUUUCCUCCUCCAUCUCCCUACUGUCAGAGACGUACACGACACUACCCGCGCUACCCUCCAUGCUGCCUUCUUCUUCCUCGACCGGAUCCCCACCUGAGACUGCAGAAUGACAGUUCGUCCACUCCUGCACAAAACAUAGUCGGCAACGUCAGUCGGCGAGACAAGAAAAGCAAUAAAACUGAGAAGGUUAAAAGCACUCGACAACAUGUACUCACCUCAUUCGGAGGAGGAUUUUGGGCGCGGAAGGCCUUCACCCGCCGAGCUCCCACGGGGUUAUCACAUGUGCCCGUGAUGCUGCGGACCCACGCACCCACGGUCUCCUUGCUCACGUCUUGAGGAUGGGACCGAGUGGUAUCCGAAGGCCCCGUGUAAUGCCACAUUGCAUGGUCUCGGGCCUGGAGCGACUGGAUGCGUCGACCCAGAAAAGUCUCCAGCAGGUCCAUGCCGGUGACUCCGUUCCGGACGACGGUUAUCAGCGCGUCGAUCAAAGGCUGGAUCUGGGUUUUUUCUCCCUUAGAGAGCGCUAGCUUCCUGGGAGGGUACGGACGGUCUAAACUAAAGGGUGGUAACCCACUCGGAGCAUUUGAGCAGGCAAUGUCCUGGCAAUAGAACCAGGACGAUUGCUAGUUCCUAACCGACUCGGAUAGCUGAAGGGAGGGAUAACUACUUUUCGCUUUCUUCUGAAAUCCUAAACCCCCGCAGAGCUGGAGGAUGUGUGUCUUAUCAUCAGAGUGGCUAAGUUUCUUAACCGUUUGAGAUCUAGCAGAGAAAACAUAUUUGAAGAGCCCCAGUGGGGAGGACACUCGCACAGGGUGAUGAAUGCGGAAAGAUGAGCUAUCGCAUUCGGCGGAAAGUGAUGGAUCUGCGCCCCGAAGUAGUUCAUAAUACCUCGGAAGAAAGGAUGGGGAGGCAGGGAGAAACCUCUGGCCACGUGGCUGAGCAGCAGGACGCGCUCCCCCUCCCUCGGCGCCGGCUCCAUCUCGCCUUCCGGCAGCCUCCAAGACUUAUUGACGACCAUGCCGUGCUCCACCAGCUCCAGCACGUCGGUCUCCCUCACCGUGGAGGGGAGGAAGUCCCCCUGGAUCCAGCCUGCCGGCAAUGCCCGCUUCCGCUGCUGAAUGGAGGCCGCCCCCUUCUUCUUCUUCUUCACCUCAAGCUUGCUGGUCUGCCCCUUCGUCAUGGCGAGGGCGACGGAUCUGCAGAGGAGGAGGGGAAGGAGGUAGCUAGAGGUAUGCAGGGAGUUGCGGGGGGNNNNNNNNNNNNNNNNNNNNNNNNNNNNNNNNNNNNNNNNNNNNNNNNNNNNNNNNNNNNNNNNNNNNNNNNNNNNNNNNNNNNNNNNNNNNNNNNNNNNNNNNNNNNNNNNNNNNNNNNNNNAGGUCCGCCGGGGAGGCUUUAAAAGGCCUCCGACUGAGUCACCUACAGGUGGGCCCAAGAUCUUAUCCUCCCAACCGGCUGCUGCAAGAUUAGUGGAGAAGAUCGCGGCGUGGUAACCGAGGAGGCGAAAUCUACUCGAUGGCGAUGACGUCAUCCCCGCUGAGCGCGCGACAACCGAAAUUUGAGAAUCCCAGAAAAUUUGGCGCUGUGAGUAUGACCGGUCACGUCGAAAGAUUUCGCGGAAGCAAUCGGUCCCUCACGGUUCGUUUCGCUUGCAUAUUCACUCGGAUCACUAGCCGCAAAGAUAAAAUGGAUUGAGGCAGACAACGCUAUGAUCACCUCAAUACCAGUCGGCUCCAAACUUCGCACAUCACUUCAUCGUUCCAGCCCCGGUCCAUUCGGGGACUAAUGAUGGGGUUAUAGUCUGAGGGUAGGGUCAUAGGUCUGCCCUAUAGGUCCUACCCAAGGACUACCCNNNNNNNNNNNNNNNNNNNNNNNNNNNNNNNNNNNNNNNNNNNNNNNNNNNNNNNNNNNNNNNNNNNNNNNNNNNNNNNNNNNNNNNNNNNNNNNNNNNNCUGAGAACAAUUUUGAGAUGUCCUGAAGGAAUUUGGAAACAUGAUCAAUUUUUGAAAGCACGAACAUUUUUUGAAUCUUGAGAACGAAUUUCUGAAAUUGUGAAUAUUUUUUGGAAAAACCCAAACAAAUUUGCGAGCACGAACAAUUUUGUAAAGCACGAACUUUUUUUGAAUCAUGAAAACAAAUUUUAGAAAAAGGAGAACAUUUUCGAAAUACCCCAAAAAAAUUUGAAAGCGCAAACAAAUUUUUAAAGCCCGGACAUUUUUGGAAUCUUUAGAACAAACUUUGAAACCAAGAAAAUUUUUGCAAUGUCCUGAACGUAUUUGGAAACGCGAACAAUUUUUGAAAGCACGAACAUUUUUUGAAUCUUGAGAAAGAAAUUUUGAAAUUGUGAAUUUCUUUUGAAAAAAAAACCCAAACAAUUUUGUGAAUCACGAACAUUUUUUGAAUCUUGAAAACAAAAUUUGAAAAUUGCUGAUGAAAUUUGAAAACACGAACAAUUUUUUAAAGCAAAAGAAAAUUGAAUCCUGAGACAAAAUUUUAAACUGGAGAACAAUUUUUUAAAAAAAACCCGAAAUUUUCUAGAAGCGUGAGCAAUUUUUUAAAGCACGAACAUUUUUUGAAUCUUGAGAACAAAUUUUGAAAAUNNNNNNNNNNNNNNNNNNNNNNNNNNNNNNNNNNNNNNNNNNNNNNNNNNNNNNNNNNNNNNNNNNNNNNNNNNNNNNNNNNNNNNNNNNNNNNNNNNNNGACGUAACCCUUUACGACAAACUCUUUAACCACCUCCAUAAUCGAGAAAAAUUCCUUAGUCCAUUAGUUACUAAGGAUAAAUUUCGACCGCUGCUAGUGAUUCAAUCAUGGAUCACUCUCUGUACCUCUCAACAUACUUUGAGUCAAGGCACACAUCAGGUGCAGUACACAGCAUGGCAUACUUUAGAUUCUACGGUUAAGGCAUAGAAGACGACCUUCGUCUAUUCUCUUUAUUCUGCCGGGGUCGGGUUUUGAGUCUUACUCAAAUUCACACCUCACAACGCAACCAAGAACUCCUUCUUUGCUGAUCUAUUUUGAACUCCUUUCAAAAACUUGUCAAGGCAUGCAUCUUGUUGAAACUUCUAUUAAGCGCUUUUCGAUCUAUCUCCAUAGAUCUUUGAUGCUCAACGUUCAAGUAGCGUAAUCCAAGUACUCCUUUGAAAACUUCUUUCAAAACAACCUUGUAUGCUUUACAGAAAUUCUACAUUACUUCUGAUCCACAAUAUGUCAACCACAUAUACCUAUCAGAAAUUCUAUAGUGCUCCCACUCACUUCUUUGGAAAUACAAGUUUCUCAUAAACCUUGUACAAACCCAAAAUCCUUGAUCAUCUCAUCAAAGUGUAUAUUCCAACUCCGAGAUGCUUGCACCAGUCCAUUGAAGGAUCACUGGAGCUUGCAUACUUGCUAGUAUCUUUAGGAUCGACAAAACCUUUUGGUUGUAUCACAUACAAUGUUUGCUCAAGGAAACCGUCGAGAAAACAAUGUUUUGACAUCCUACGUGCAAUAUUUCAUAAAUAAUGCAUCAACAACUAACAUAAUUCUAACAGACUUUUAGCAUCGCUACGAGUGAGAAAGUCUCAUCAUAGUCAACUGUUUGAUCUUAUCGAAAACAUCUUUGCGACAAGUCGAGCUUUUCUUAAUAGUGACUUAUCACCAUCAUCGUCUAUCUUCUUUUAAAGAUCCAUUUUUACUCAAUAGUCCUAUGACCAUCAAGUAGUUCUACCAAAGUCUACACUUUGUUUUCACACAUGGAUCCUCUCUCGGAUUUCAUGGCUUCCAGCCAUUUGUUGGAAUCUGGGCCCACCAUCGCUCUCUCCAUAACUCGUAGGUUCACUGUUGCUCAACAACAUGACCUCCAAGACAGGGUUACCGUACUACUCUGCAGCAGUACGCGACCUUGUCGACCUACGAGGUUUGUAGUAACUUGAUUCGAAGCUCAAUGAUCAUCAUCAUCAGCUUCCACUUCAAUUGGUGUAGGCGCCACAUGAACAACUUCCUGCGCCCUGCUACACACUGGUUGAAGUGAUGGUUCAAUAACCUCAUGAAGUUCUACUACCCUCCCACUCAAUUCUUUCGAGAGAAACCUUUCCUCGAGAAAGGAUCCGUUUCUAGAAACAAACACUUUGCUUUCGGAUCUGAGAUAGGAGAUGUACCCAACUGCUUUGGAUAUCCUAUGAAGAUGCAUUUAUCUGCUUUGGGUUCGAGCUUAUCAGACUGAAACUUUUUCACAUAAGUGUCGAAACCCCAAACUUUCAAGAAACGACAGUUUAGAUUUCUCUAAACCUCAGUCUAUACUGUGUCAUCUCAACGGAAAUACGCGGUGCCCUAUUUAAAGUGAGUGCGGUUGUCUCUAAUGCAUAACCCAUAAAUGAUAGUGGUAAUUCGAUAAGAGACAUCAUAGUAUGCACCAUAACAAAUAGUGCGUGGCUAUGACGUUCAGACACAUCAUCACACUAUGAUGUUCUAGGUGGCAUGAACUGCGAAACAAUUUCCACAUUGUCUUAACUGUGUACCAAAACUCGUAACUCAGAUAUUCAUUUCCAUGAUCAUAUCGUAGAUAGUUUAUCCUCUUGUUACGACGAACUUCACUCUGAAACGGAAUUGAACUUUUCAACAUUUUAGACUUGUGAUUCAUUAAGUAAAUACUCCUGUAUCUACUCAAAUCGUCAGUGAAGUAAGAACAUAAUGAUAUCCACUGCGUGCCUCAGCACCCAUUGGACUGCAUACAUCAAAAUGUAUCACUUCCAACAAGUUACUAUCUUAUUUCAUCUCAAUGAAAACAAGGCCUUGCUCAUGUGGUAUGAUUCGCAUGUCACUAGUGAUUCAAAAUCAGGUGAGUACAAAGAUCCAUCAGCAUAGAGCCUCUUCAUGCAAUUUAUACUAAUAUGACUCAAGCGGCAGUGCCACAAGUAAGUGGUACUGUCAUCAUCAACUCAUAUCUUUUGGCACCAAUAUCAUGAACAUGUGUAACACUACGAUCGAGAUUCAAUAAACCAUUGAAGGUGAUUAUUCAAGAAAAUAGAGUAACCAUUAUUCUCUUUAAAUGAAUAAUCGUAUUGCAAUAAACACGAUCCAAUCAUGUUCAUGCUUAUCGCAAGCACCAAAUAACAAUUAUUUAGGUUUAACACCAAUCCCGAUGGUAGAGGGAGCGUGCGACGUUUGAUCAUAUCAAUCUUGGAAACACUUCCAACACGUAUCGUCACCUCGCCUUUAGCUAGUCUCCGUUUAUGUCGUAGCUUUCAUUUCGCGUCACUAAUCACUUAGCAACCGAACCGGUAUCCAAUACCCUCGUGCUACUAGGAGUACUAGUAAAGUACACAUCAACAUCAUGUAUAUCAAAUACACUUCUUUCGACUUUUGCCAGCCUUCUUAUCUACCAAGUAUCUUGAGUUGCUCCGCCUCGGUGAUUGUUCCCCUCAUUACAGAAGCACUUAGUCUCGGGUUUGGGUUUAAUCUUGGGUCUCUUCAUUAGUGCAGCAACUGUUUUGCCGUUUCACGAAGUAUCCCUUCUAGCCCUUGCCUUUCUUGAAACUUAGUGGCUUUACAAACCAUCAACUAUUGAUGCUCCUUCUUGAUUUCUACUUUCGUAGUGUCAAACAUCGCGAAUCACUCAAGGAUCAUUGUAUGUAUCCUUGAUAUGUUAUAGUUCAUCACGAAGCUCUCACAGCUUGGUGGCAGUGACUUUGGAGAACUAUCACUAUCUCAUUUGGAAGAUUAACUCCCACUUGAUUCAAGCGAUUGUCGUACUCAGACAAUCUGAGCACAUGCUCAACGAUUGAGCCUUUUCUCCUGUGCUUUGUGGACAAAGAAUCUUAUCGGAGGUCUCGUACCUCUUAACAAGGGCACAAGCAUGAAAUCACAAUUUCAUCUCUUUAGAACAUAACUUAUGUUCCGUGACGUUUUACAACGUUUUCGGCGCCUUGCUUCUAAGCCAUUAAGUAUUUUGUACUGAACUAUCGUGUAGUCAUCAGAAACGUGUAUGUCGGAUGUUCACAGCAUCCACAGACGACGCUCGAGGUGCAGCACACCGAGUGGUGCAUUAAGGACAUAAGCCUUCUGUGCAGCAACGAGGACAAUCCUCGGUUUUACAGACUCAGUCUGCAAAGUUUGCUACUAUCAACUUUCAACUAAAUUUUCUCUAGGAACAUAUAAAAACAGUAGAGCUAUAGCGCAAUCUACAUCGUAAUUCGCAAAGACCAUUAGACUAUGUUCAUGACAAUUAGUUCAAUUAAUCAUAUUACUUAAGAACUCCCACUCAAAAAGUACAUCUCUCUAGUCAUUUGAGUGGUACAUGAUCCAAAUCCACUAUCUCAAGUCCGAUCAUCACGUGAGUCGAGAAUAGUUUCAGUGGUAAGCAUCUCUAUGCUAAUCAUAUCAACUAUACGAUUCAUGCUCGACCUUUCGGUCUCAUGUGUUCCGAGGCCAUGUCUGCACAUGCUAGGCUCGUCAAGCUUAACCCGAGUGUUCUGCGUGCGCAACUGUUUUGCACCCGUUGUAUGUGAACGUUGAGUCUAUCACACCCGAUCAUCACGUGGUGUCUCGAAACGACGAACUGUAGCAACGGUGCACAGUCGGGGAGAACACAAUUUCGUCUUGAAAUUUUAGUGAGAGAUCACCUCAUAAUGCUACCGUCGUUCUAAGCAAAAUAAGGUGCAUAAAAGGAUUAACAUCACAUGCAAUUCAUAAGUGACAUGAUAUGGCCAUCAUCACGUGCUUCUUGAUCUCCAUCACCAAAGCACCGGCACGAUCUUCUUGUCACCGGCGCCACACCAUGAUCAUCCAUCAACGUGUUGCCAUCGGGGUUGUCGUGCUACUUAUGCUAUUACUACUAAAGCUACAUCCUAGCAAAAUAGUAAACGCAUCUGCAAGCACAUAUGUUAGUAUAAAGACAACCCUAUGGCUCCUGCCGGUUGCCGUACCAUCGACGUGCAAGUCGAUAUUUCUAUUACAACAUGAUCAUCUCAUACAUCCAAUAUAUCACAUCACAUCAUUGGCCAUAUCACAUCACAAUCAUACCCUGCAAAAACAAGUUAGACGUCCUCUAAUUUUGUUGUUGCAUGUUUUACGUGGUGACCAUGGGUAUCUAGUAGGAUCGCAUCUUACUUACGCAAACACCACAACGGAGAUAUAUGAAUUGCUAUUUAACCUCAUCCAAGGACCUCCUCGGUCAAAUCCGAUUCAACUAAAGUUGGAGAAACUGACACUUGCCAGUCAUCUUUGAGCAACGGGGUUACUCGUAGCGAUGAAACCAGUCUCUCGUAAGCGUACGAGUAAUGUCGGUCCAAGCCGAUUCAAUCCAACAAUACCGCGGAAUCAAGAAAAGACUAAGGAGGGCAGCAAAACGCACAUCACCGCCUACAAAAACUUUUGUGUUCUACUCGAGAAGACAUCUACGCAUGAACCUAGCUCAUGAUGCCACUGAUGGGGAACGUCGCAUGGGAAACAAAAAUUUUCCUACGCGCACGAAGCCCUAUCAUGGUGAUGUCCAUCUACGAGAGGGGAUGAGUGAUCUACGUACCCUUGUAGAUCGUACAACAGAAGCGUUAGUGAACGCGGUUGAUGUAGUGGAACGUCCUCACGUCCCUCGAUCCGCCCCGCGAACAAUCCCGCGAUCAGUCCCACGAUCUAGUACCGAACGGACGGCACCUCCGCGUUCAGCACACGUACAGCUCGACGAUGAUCUCGGCCUUCUUGAUCCAGCAAGAGAGACGGAGAGGUAGAAGAGUUCUCCGGCAGCGUGACGGCGCUCCGGAGGUUGGUGAUGACCUUGUCUCAGCAGGGCUCCGCCCGAGCUCCGCAGAAACGCGAUCUAGAGGAAAAACCGUGGAGGUAUGUGGUCGGGCUGCCGUGGAAAAGUCGUCUCAAAUCAGCCCUAAAACCUCCGUAUAUAUAGGUGGGAGGGAGGGGAGGAGGCAGCCUCAAAACCUAAAGGUUUGGCCGAAAUUGGAGGUGGAGGAGUCCUACUCCAAUCCUACUUGGAGUAGGAUUCCACCUUCCCACUUGGAAACUCUUUCCACCUUGUGUUUUUUCCUUCUCAAACCUUAUGGGCCUUAGUGGGAACUUAUUCCAGCCCACUAGGGGCUGGUUUAUCUCUUCCCAUAGCCCAUGAGACCCCUUGGGGCGUGACACCCCUCUCGAUGGUCCCCGGCACCCCUCCCGGCACUCCCGGUACACUACCGAUGAGCCCGAAACUUUUCCGGUAAUGCACGAAAACCUUCCGGUAACCAAAUGAGGUCAUCCUAUAUAUCAUCUUCGUUUCCGGACCAUUCCGGAAACCCUCGUGACGUCCGUGAUCUCAUCCGGGACUCCGAACAACAGUCGGUAACCAACCAUAUAACUCAAAUACGCAUAAAACAUCGUCGAACCUUAAGUGUGCAGACCCUGCGGGUUCGAGAACUAUGUAGACAUGACCCGAGUGACUCCUCGGUCAAUAUCCAAUAGCGGGACCUGGAUGCCCAUAUUGGAUCCUACAUAUUCUACGAAGAUCUUAUCGUUUGAACCUCAGUGCCAAGGAUUCAUAUAAUCCCGUAUGUCAUUCCCUUUGUCCUUCGGUAUGUUACUUGCCCGAGAUUCGAUCGUCAGUAUCCGCAUACCUAUUUCAAUCUCGUUUACCGGCAAGUCUCUUUACUCGUUCCGUAAUACAAGAUCCCGCAACUUACAUUAAGUUACAUUGCUUGCAAGGCUUGUGUGUGAUGUUGUAUUACCGAGUGGGCCCCGAGAUACCUCUCCGUCACACGGAGUGACAAAUCCCAGUCUUUAUUCACGCCAACCCAACAGACCACGAUCAACAUGCUACGUCUAUUAGUUUGGGUCUAGUCCAUCACAUGAUUCUCCUAAUGAUGUGAUCCCCUUAUCAAGUGACAACACUUGCCUAUGGCCAGGAAACCUUGACCAUCUUUGAUCAACGAGCUAGUCAACUAGAGGCUUACUAGGGACAGUGUUUUGUCUAUGUAUCCACACAAGUAUUGUGUUUCCAAUCAAUACAAUUAUAGCAUGGAUAAUAAACGAUUAUCAUGAACUAAGAAAUAUAAUAAUAACUAAUUUAUUAUUGCCUCUAGGGCAUAUUUCCAACACAUGAUAGGUCUUCGUGCGCGUAGGAAUUUUUUUGUUUCCCAUGCGACGUUCCCCAACAUAAAGAUCUCUUGGUUGAUAAUAUUGAUGGACAUUUAUUUAUUUUUGUGAUGAAGCUCCUGGAAUUGCAAAACUUGCUAGAAACGAACAUGAUGUGUUAGAUAAAAAUAAACCAGUUGUUGGCAUGCCUGUUGUUUCCAUUAAGAUUGAAGAUCAUUGUUAUCAUGGCUUAUGUGAUAUGGGUGCUACUGUGAGUGUUAUUCCUUUUACCUUAUACCAAGAAAUUAUGAAUGAUAUAGCACCCUCUUGGAUUGAAGACAUAGAUGUCACUAUUAAACUUGCAAAUAGAGAUACUAUUUUCAUCACUUGGGAUUGUUAGAGAUGUUCAAGUCUUGUGUGGAAAAACUAAGUACCCCACUGAUUUCUUAAUACUUGGUUCACUUCAAGAUAAUUUUUGUCCCAUUAUAUUUGGUAGACCAUUCUUGAAUACCAUUAAUGCUGAAAUUAAUUGUGUUACAUAAAAGGUUGAAGUGAGUUUUGGUGUUGUGUCUCGUGAGUUUAAUUUCUCUAAGUUUGCUAGACAACCACAUGAGAAAGAAUUAUCUAAUAAAGAUGAAAUUAUUGGUAUUGAUUCUAUUGCCGUGCCUCCUACAAAUCCAUUAGAACAAUAUUAGCUAGAACAUGAAAAUGAUAUACAUAUCAAUGAGAGAAAUGAAAUAGAUGAGAUAUUCUUUAAGCAAGCACCUAUCCUCAACUACAAUCUAACUGUUGACAUUCUAGGAGAUCCUCCACCACCUAAGGGAAAUCCGGUGUUUGAUUUAAAAAAAAAUAUCUCACACUUAGAAAUAUGUUUAUCUUGAUGAAAAGAAUGCAUAUCCUGUUUUUAUUAGUGCUAACCUUUCAGAGCAUGAAGAAAAGAGAUUACUUCAAACUCCGAGGAAGCACCGAGCUGCUAUUGGAUAUACACUUGAUGAUCUAGUGCAUUAGUCCCACUCUAUGUUAGCAUAAGAUUAAUAUGGAACCAGAUGCUAAAUAUGUUGGUGAUCAUCAACAUCGGUUGAUCCUAAAAUGAAGGAAGUGGUAAGAACAAAAAUACUAAAGCUUCUGGAGACAUGUAUAAUUUAUCCUAUUGCUGAUACUAUAUGGGUUAACCAUGUCCAUUGUGUUCCUAAGAAAGGAUGUAUAACCGUUAUUCGUAAUUACCAAAAUAAACUUAUCCCACAAAUAAUUGUAAAUGGUUAUAGGAUGGUAAUUGAUUUUAGAAAAUUAAACAAAGAUACUAGAAAAGAUCAUUACCCCUUGACUUUUAUUAAUCAAGUGUUAGAAAGAUUAUGUAAGAACACACACACUUUUGUUUUCUUGAUGGAUACUCUCGUUUCUCUCAAAUACACGUGUUAAAAGAAGAUCAAGAGAAAACUACUUUCACUUGUCCGUUUGGAACUUAUGCUUAUAGGCGUAUGCCUUUUGAUUUAUGUAAUGCACCUGCUACCUUUCAAGGAUGUAUGAAUGAUAUAUUCUCUGAUUUUUGUGAAAAGAUUGUUGAGGUAUUCAUGGAUGAUUUUUCUGUGUAUGGGCCUUCUUUUGAUGAUUUCUUAAGGAACAUUGAUCGAGUUUUGUAGAGAUGUGAAGAAACUAAUCGUGUCUUGAAUUAGGAGAAGUGUCAUUUUCUGAUGAAUGACGGUAUGGUACUUGGGCUUAAAAUUUCUGAAUGAGGUAUUGAGGUAGACAAAUCGAAAGUCCUGAGUUGAAUGAGAGGCCUCCAAUCCUAGCUUAGUGAUAUAGAAAAUAUAACUUCACAUAUGUGGCAAGUAUCAAAAUAUUAUCACAAAGAAGGUCGAUCUAGGAUUUUGCCCAGGGCCGAGGCACCACAACUGUGCAAAACUCAUUUUAAACACAAAUCUAAAAACACUUUUUUGACACACAUGUAAACAUCAUUUUACUCUACCAUCUGAAUUAGAAAAUGCCUCGUCACUUUUUUAUCUACGUCUAUUGAAAAACCACUUUGCAUACUGCGCUCUUCCUCUAGUUAGACAAAACCACAAAAUCCCUUGUGAUAAGACACUUUUGCUACAAAGACGAUCUCCACAUGCGAUCAUUGUGCCUACCUUGAUCUAGCUCGCAUACAUGAUUUCUUCCCAUAUUUCGAUUUUUUCCCAUUGAAGGACCUCUUAGAGAUGCCCCCGCCGGGGGGGGGGGGCCCUNNNNNNNNNNNNNNGGGGGGGGGGGUCCUGUAUGCUUUUAUUGUUGAAAAUAAUAGAACAAAAUCCUCUAGAUGUAUGUGGAUAAAAAUAGGAUGAUGAAAAAAAGGUAUUGCUAUUUCAAGGAGGAUGUAAUAAAAGGUAUUCCUAUUUAUAGCUUUUGAGGAAAGCAGGGAGUUACUUACGAUUCAUUCUCCAUCUCCACCUCGUCAUCUCUUCUACUACGAAGAAAACAACAAACAAUAAAUCAAUCAAAUGGGUUCUCGAUGGAUUCGACCUGAGGUAUGUGAUGAUAAUUUAGAUUAUCUAUUUGCAUAUGCAAAUCAAGCACAUUACUUGUUUUUUUACCAAAAAUCAUACCUAUUUCUGUUGGUUUAUCGAAAUCAUUACUUUCCUUCUUAUAUUUCAUCUGGUGCCUUACGAGCAAUCAAGUAAUUACCCGGUCUACAAUGUCCAAAGAAUUAUACAUGUUUUGUUGAUUGUUGCCUAUAUAUGAUCUGUUCCAUUUAUGUAAAAACUUAUCAAAGAUCAAUCAACACAUGGGAGGAUUAUUUGCUAAGCCAACCAUGAUUUGUUAUUGUGUAUGUCAUUUGUGCCACAUGUAUUAUUCCAUAUGCAUUAAAGACCUCGACAAAUAUUUUGAUUUAGCCAUAGACAUAAACGCACAUGACCAAAAUGUAUGGUAAAUGAAACCUCCAAAAUUCGAUGCUUUUGUUUGUGUUCAUGUUGGCGUAGGAAUCCAUACAGAGUCAUACAACAAAGUCAUGUUGAUUCACACAACAUGCCCUUCAUCAUGUUGAUGUGUGAUUAGUGAUUCAAACAUCCAGGUGUACCCGCUGUUCGCGACGACGGGCGUGGCCGUCGGUAUUUGUGUGAUGCAACUUGUGCGCAAUAUCACGACCAACCCUGAAGUCAGGUACUACAAAAAACUAAACAAAACUUUCAUCCAUGUUCAUCACUCACAUUUCGACACAUCACACUUGAUCAAUUUUUCUACCAUCGCUGAAGAUUUUGUUUGAAGUUGUGUUGUGUGAAACAACUGACAAAUGUACAUGCAGGGUGACAAAGGAGAACAGGGCGGCCGGGGUGCUAGAGAAUCACGAUGAAGGGAAGAGGUACUCCCAGCACGGCGUGCGCAGGUUCUGGCUCUCCAAGCGUCGUGACUACAUGCAGGCACUAGACAACGUGCCCACCGACCCGCCACCCAAGUAGAUCCAAUGACAUAUCGUCCAUGAGAAGACGCCGCUGUGGUUGCUCCAUAUAUCACACAUAUAUGCAUACUACAAGAACAAACAUGCUCCGCCGCGCCUGCUAUAAUCGUGAUUUCCAUUUGUUUACUGUAUCUUUGUAGUCAUGCAUGUACGUUUUUGGGGUUGAAAAGUACCAUUUUGUUUUCUUUGAUAUGAUAUGGUAAUACAUUUUAACAUAUCUAUAGUUUAUUUAUAUGGAUUUUGAUUUUGCUAACCACAUGUUUUCUUACCAAAAACAACCAACUCAUGAUCAAUAAAAGCCUCAUAUAGAAAAUGGCUAACCAACUUUUUUAGAGGCAAACCGAAGCUAAAACCAAAUCUAUCAAAAACUACUCUUACAAAUAGAGCCAAGUGGCUAUUAGUGUCCCAUCAACUUUAUUUUCUCCAUAAUCACCCACCCAUAAAGACUUCGAUCUCCCAACUUUACUCGAUUUGUUACCCCUGUACUCGCAUGAGCAGAAUCAACCUUCCGCCUAGAACAAGAAGAGUGUGGUCGGAGAAAUUUUGGAACGAAGUUUCACAUCGCUGCUGUCAAAGUUCUCGUCGCCAAUUCAUUUUAUGGAUCCAAACUGGGAAAUAUUAAAUCCAUUAUCCACGUUCAUUCCUUUCUUUCCCGUCACCGAUUCAUUUGUUUUCAGAGGAAGUAUGUAUGAGUGAAACUUCAUGCGCAGAGUUCACAUUUUUGUAUUGGCCAACAAGAUAUUUUUUACAUCUUUAUGCACUCCUCCUAUACAAGCCAGUUUAUUAAAUUUUGUUGAGUGUUUGAAACAUCAUUUCUCGUUUGUAUUUCUUCUGCAAAUAAAGAGGAUGAUACCCCGCAAAAAAUAAAAACAAAAAGUUAAAUAAGGAGAAUGAUGGAGCAGUAAAUUAUGUGGCGAACUCUUGGUUUCUUUGGCAGUUUUUAUUAUUUUCGACAACAUAACUUCACUUUGUCACCUGCNNNNNNNNNNNNNNNNNNNNNNNNNNNNNNNNNNNNNNNNNNNNNNNNNNNNNNNNNNNNNNNNNNNNNNNNNNNNNNNNNNNNNNNNNNNNNNNNNNNNNNNNNNNNNNNNNNNNNNNNNNNNNNNNNNNNNNNNNNNNNNNNNNNNNNNNNNNNNNNNNNNNNNNNNNNNNNNNNNNNNNNNUGGCUCGUCGAGGACGACAUCCUCCUCAAGAACGCCGUCGAGGUAGGUAACCGACGCCCCCGUAGCCCCGGAUCGCGGCCGCAGUCGCACAAUAGCUCCCCGUGUCGACGCGUCGGUUGGGUCGGCCUCGAUUGAGGCGUCCAAUUGCUGUCCCUGGGCGGCUCCCGCCCGCCGGAGCGCCACGGAGCCAGAGGGGGCUCUGCCCGCUAGUCAGAAUGCUUAGUCCCACCCCGCCCUUGCAAGAUUCUUGCGCCCGUGAUUCUCGUUAUCCGCGUACUUGCGAAAUUCCUGGACCCCCUUGCUGUUUACAGCAAAUGUUCGUUGUUUUCUUUGCGUUUCAGUUACACAGGGGUGGUGCUCUGCCAGUCUGCACUGCACAUUGCUUGGUAAAUUCUACGGCAUUGCUGUUUUUUACAGCCAAUGCUAUUGAUUUCAUUUUGGGUUAGAAGGAAGGGUGGUGCUCUGCAGCACAUAGGAGUUAACUGACAGCAUGAUGUAAUCAGCAAUUGUUGCCGCGUGUGGUUGGCUCGGAACAGUUUCUAUUGUGCGUCUUUUGGUCCCGCGACAAUCUUCUUUUAACCUUCGAGUCUGUAAUGUUACAAGUUGUUAAACUUCUGUAAAAAAAUCAUUGCUAAUUAAAUUUAUCCAGGACACGCUAUAUUUUAUUUGCACAUGUCAGCUUAUUGGCCGUGUAACAAUCAAAUAUGUUUGUGUAAAAAAAGAUGGCGUGAAGAGUUAGGCCUAAUGAGUGCUUUUUUUGGUACCAGUGAACAAAAAUGAGAAAAACUGCUCUGGCAACUGCGUAUGAAAUUCUGAAAUCUGAAUUUAUGACCACUCCCCUGUUUAUUACUAAUUGAGAAAAUAAUAAUUUUGAUACCUGUAGACUGGUGCUUCUUUGGAGUCCUUGGCGAAAGGAGCUGUAUGUUUUUCCCGUAAAUUCACCCUUCAAGAAAUACAAGAUCGUUGGACUUCAUUGCUAUAUGACCCAGAGAUCUCAGCACAAGCUUCUGCUCGGAUGGUUGAGUAUGAGGCUGAACUUUCCACUUCCAACCCUGCCAAGCUACAUAAACUUGUCAACUCAAAGGCAAAAGAUUUCUCAUUUCAGAAGCGGAAAAUAGAGAGUGUCAAGAAUUUAUACUAUGCGAUGAGAAAGAGAGUAUGCAAUGAACCCUGUAACACCAACGACCUUGGUUUUCUCAUUGCCCCUUGUUCUUGCAUGGCGAUUGGCGGGGAGUGUGUCUGCGGAGGCGUACCUAAACCUUCACAUGAUCAGCAUGUAGUUCAAAGUAUUGAACCAGGGAUGAGUACAGUGAGCUGUUAUGCGCAAGCAGGUGGAAGCUACAGUGGUGUACAACAGACACAUCCUGAAAUAAAUGGUCAUUCUUUCCAUGCACAGCAUCCUGGGAGCAUGAUAAACGAUGAGGAUGCCACCAAUAAUGCACCAUAUGUCUAUUCAGACGUUCAAAUAUAUGACGCCUACGCACAAAAAGUUCCUGAGCCAAGUGAAGUGAACAAUGUCUCUCUUAGAGGUAUUACAGAUUUUCAGGAUUCUAUGCAGUUUCAGCAAUUGGCAUCUAGCAACCAAUGCGGCAAUGAAGUAGCAGAAUCAAAAGAAAUGUUGAUUACUGAUCAAGUUGGAGUUGAACACGUCCAUUUCCCUGCUAAUAACAGUGGAGAAGCAAUCUGGAACGGGGUUGAUGAAACAGACACACUCACUCUUGCUGAUGGUAAGAAAAUAAAGACAGCCAACAGAGACCCUCUAGCAUUGCAAGCAGAUGGUGGGAUUUGCAUGCCUGGUUUAGAUGAUGCAGCAAUGCCAGAAGGUGAUUACAUGGAUUUUCCCUUUUUCAGUAACAGUGAUGAGUUUGAUCUCCUGAACGGCGAAGAUUUUCUGAAUUCUCCACAUGAUACGAAUCAGGAAGACUUGGAUGAUCCUGAUCCGAAAGGUGUACUGGGUGCGGACUCCGUCAUGCAGAAUAUGUUGCACCCCGAUGAGUCCAACAUUUGCUAUGAUCAGGUAGAUUCUGGCCAUGUACAUCAUAACGUUGAGGGUGUUUCUGAAAUGAUCCUGGCCCCUACUUCACCUGAAGUGUGUUAUCCGGGCCAGCAUGUGGAAUGCAUGUUAAAUACGGAAGAUCCUGAAAUCCCUUGCAAUGACGAUGCUAGUACACAUGGCGAGUUUUCUCCCCUUCGCACUACUGCUUCUUUUGCGCGGAACUCUGAGCCUCCAUUCCCCCCUACAACUAGCUCUCCAUUAAAGGCUGAGCAUUCCAAUGCGAGUGAUUUGGUCCAAAUAAAGAGAGGAGAUAUGGCAAAUGCCCAAUCGCCAUCACAACCAAUGAAGGUUAGCCCAUCCACUUCAGCACAAAAAGAAAGUUCAGUGGCACUUAAAAAAGGUUGCAUCCUAGGAGCUAUGCCCUCUGAAGGUCCUUCAACUUCCAGUGCACUUGUGCAUGGUAAUAUUGACACGAAUGAUGAGAGCACAUGCAUGCUAGCUUUACCUGCUAUUCACCCAUCUGGAUUUGGUGAAGGACCAUCGUGCAGUUUAGGACAGCAGGAUUUAUUUGAUAACUCCCAAAGCUUGAUGUUGUACAAUCCUGUUCAAGUGCCUGAUCACAUGAAUUACAACUCACAUGAUAAUCAAUCAGAAUUGCAAGGUGCCUCUGCUCUACAGAACUGUAUGCCAUCACAUGCAUUGUCAGAUUUGGGUCUUCAAGACCCUAUUGCGUCCGCGCCGGCAUCAGCUCUACCAGAAGAAUGCUUGGACAUUGAAAAUGAUAUUCCAAACUACUACGAUUUAGAAGCCCUGGUAUGUAUCUGUUAACUUAGAUAAUAGAGCCUUUCAGUGUGUUACUUCUGAUUCAUCCUUUUUCGAUUCAUUGCAGAUACUUGAUCAGGAUCUAAUUCCAUGGGACCAGGCUGAUUCAUCUCACCCUGCAGGUAAAUACAAACCAUCUAUCAAAUUAUUCUGAAUGUGGUUAAGGAUAUGCUACAUUAAUAUAUGCAAGUUUGUAUCGAGAUGGAUUCCCUCCGUCCCAAAAUUCUUGUCUGAUAUGAAUUUUAGUAUUUUGAUACAUACAUUUCUAGACAAACCUAAGACAAGAAUUUUGGGAUGGAGGGAGUACAUCUUAAGGCUAGCAUGAGUAACAUUAUGAUGACAGAGCUGUCCCGAAAAAUGUAUUGUGCUAAACUAUGAGUCCUAUUGCGCUGAAAUAAUGGUCCCAUUGUUGCAAACUUGCAAUAGCACUUCACUAUCAGUGCCUAUAGUCACUAAAAAUGGCGAGUCUGUUAUUACUUAUUAGACCUCUGGGAGCUGGCCUGCUGGCCUCUCCUUGUAUUUCUUUCCUUAAUGAAAUGACACACAGCUCUUCUGCGUUGUUUGAGAAAGAAAAGGAAUUGAUUGAGUUUAAUCGUCAACUAUUUUAUUUUUCUGGUACUUUGGACCUUGUAUAUUACUCCCUCCGUCCAGAAUUAUUUGUCACCAAAAUGAAAAGAAAUGAAUGUAUCUAGAACUAAAAUAUGUCUAGAUACAUCCAUUCCUAUGACAAGUAAUUCCAGACGGAGGGAUUGUUAGCUAUAGUUAGGCAUUUGCGUACCAUGUACAGGAGAAAAAAUAGUCUACUUAUCAUUAUCUAUGUAUUUGUAUGGUCAGUUUCCAGAUUUGAUCAUCCAGAGAACAGGAAAUCAUUGAUAAGGUUGGAGCAGGGUGCUCGGUCUUAUGUGAACCGAGGUAUCAUGUCUCGAGGUGCCUUUGCAGUUAUCUAUGGAUUGCACUUGAAGUACUACAUAAAGGACCCUGAGGUAAAUCCAACUGAUGUUUUUCAGCUAAUAUGGUCUAUCACAUAUAACGAGAUACAGCUUAACUUCUCCAAAGUACAAAGAACUUUUGUUCAUACAUCUGUGCUGAACAGUUGCAUAGUUUAAAUUUCGUGGUGUUAAUAUUCGCACAUGGAAACAGUUCAUAUGUUUGGUUAUUUCUGAACCGCACACUUGCUACUGACUUGAAGUUUGAAAACUCAUCUAUAUUGUUUUUGUCUCGUAAUCGAAUGCUUAUGGAAUUCUUCAUUUCUUCUAAUCCAAUCUUUAAGUCAAAAGAUAUGACCAGGCUGGUUAUUGUGUGGCUCACUUUGAUCAUUUUUUUGGUACAUUGUCUUCUUUAACUUGUAUGGAAUACAUGAUAUUUUCACAUUUGUGCAAUAUCUGGCACCAUUUCUGACUUUUAGUUGCAUUUCUCUCUUCUUUUCUCAGGUUAUUCUGGGAAGAGAGACAGAAGAUGUAAAAGUAGACAUAGAUUUGGCAAAAGAAGGGCGGGCGAACAAAAUAUCUCGCCGACAGGUAUUUGCUUGAAUAUGUUUUUCAAGUUAGUGAAUUUUAAUAACAGUUUAGGAAAUAGCUGAUGCCUAAAAAAUGAUGAAAAACAUCUAUAUUCUGUAGAGGCUUGUUUUUUGUUUAGUUGGUUCUUCUGUUUGAGGUUAGGUCCUGAAGGAAAUGUAUUUUUAGCUCAUCUGCUGGUCUUGGUGUAAUGGGUGGCCACAGAAGGUCUACUCUGCCCUGACCCUGACAGCAGUAAAAAGCUGUUUGUCAUGCAUUGUCCGUAGAUAUUUCAACGUGCAGGCACAUGUUUUGUUUGAGCCAGUGGAGUUGUCGACUUUGUUUAGUUGGCAAUAUUAGGGACUGGAGAAGUCUGGUGGGGGAUGAAUUAUGUUUAUCUAGGUCUCUUUUUUCACUCUAGGGUUGGCUUGCAUAUUUAUCUCAAUGAUUUGUAUCAUGCCUUUGUGUUAUUAGUUGAGAAACUGUUAGUCUUAACACUAUGCAUUCUUGACUUGUUAUGGAUAGUUUUAAAAACAUCUCCAGCUAUUGAUGUUGACCACACUUGUGUUAUAGAAUUGCGACUUUGUGGCAUUCUAUGACUGUGUCUAUCUUGUAUUUUGUACACCGUCUGACCAUGCCAUGCUCCUGAAAUAGUUUACUGUUUUAAGUAAUUAACAGCAGGCAUCUCUGGUUACAUCUGACCCCCAGUGGUUGCAUCCACUAACCCCAUUCAUAUGUUCUCCUUUAAGUUGCGAGUUAGGGUAUCAGGCUGGUGAGCUGCCCUAAAUAGUGGAGACUGUUAUGUUUUGCUAAAUUCGUUUUAUAUUCUGAAAAUCAGGCGGUUAUCAAGAUGGAUAAAAAUGGGUCUUUCCAUAUCAAGAACAUUGGGAAAUGCUCAAUCUUUGUUAAUAGCAAGGAAGUGCCAAGCUGCAAAGGGAUCAACUUAAGUUCUGAUUCUUUAAUCGAGGUACACAGACAUCUCCUAUUUCAUUUUCCUGAUUUAAGUCUAGCCUCUCCAUUUACGGUUUGUUUGUAACUUGGUGAGAAAGCUAUUAUCCUUGUAGUAAAUAUUCAUGUCCUCUUUUUGUCUGGAUUCUGAUACAACUGCAUUAAAUGCUCCAGGUCUAUGCUAUUUCACAGUAGAAUAUUUGCCAAAUGUCUGCAGUAAUGCUAACAAACUGUAUUACCCAUUUACGUACUACAUUUGGAUUUUUUGAUCAACCACUUGGAUAAACUUAUGUGCCUGUGCCUGGAAUUUGGACGGGUAGUUUCAGUGAAUUUGUGUCAAAUAAAUACUUGGACAUUGAUGUAAUUACCAAGAGAAGUAGAGAUUUAACUAAAAUCUCUACUGAAGCAUGUGCUAUUCAAUGUUAACUUAUCCUGGAGACCUGGUGUUUGCCAGUGAAAUACUCCCUCCGUACCUAAAUACAAGUCUUUUUAGAAAUGCCACUACGGAUUACAUAUGGAGCAAAAUGAGUGAAUCUACACUCUAAAGUAUGUCUACAUACAUCCGUAUGUAGUUACUAGUGGAAUCUCUAAAAAGACUUAUAUUUAGGAACGGAGGGAGUACUUAUCAUUAUCUUAAAGAAAAGAAAAGUUUCAUCAUUCUGAGAAGGAUUUUUAUUCUAGAUGGACCAUUCUUGCCUUAUGCAAGGUCACACUAUAUAUCAAAUUUUUAUUGAACUUUCUUGAGUGCACAUCAGUGCCAGAAUAAUGGAAUGGGAGUGUAUGUAUGAAGAGUUGAAGACCAGACCAAAGUGUAAAACACAAAAUAACAGGAUUAAUUAUAUUUAGAAUUUUUUAUGAUAAAAGCGUAGAAACAUCUUACAUGUAUGGGUUCCUUUUCAACUUCUAAUGGGAAUUAAACUUGUACUCCCUCCGUUCCAAAAUAUAAGACCUUUUAGGAAUUCCACUAGGAGACUACAUACGGAGCAAAAUGAGUGAAUCUAUACUCUAAAAUAUGUCUAUGUACAUCCGUAUGUAGCUUAUAGUGCAAUCUCUAAAAGGUCUUAUAUUUAGGAACGGAGGGAGUAUUACUUAUUUAGACUAGCCAUUUACUCUUUUGUCAAGGAGUGUGCUAACCAAGUGUUGGGUACAUGGGUGCAUGAGCUUUGUGAAGCAUGUGAAAGAUGAGGAUGGGUACACGGUGUCUGGUUGACUUUUCUGGUCGACUUAAAUAACUUUGUUAAUUUUCUGCCCAUGUUUUCUUUUGCUACGAUGUCUGUUGGUUGUUUUAUAAGCCGACCGAUGUGGCUUAUACUACAGUGCCUUAGCACUCACCACUGGCCUUUUUGAAAUGCUGAAACCUGAAUGCUAAUAUCGGUUGCCACUAACUAUCCAGCUGGCUACUAAAAUACUCCCUCCGUCUCAAAAUUCUUGUCUUAGUUUUAUCUAGAAAUGGAUGUAUCUAAAUACUAAUACAUGACUAGAUACAUUCAUAUUUAGACAAAUCAAAGACAAGAAUUUUGGGACGGGAGGGAGUACUGAAGGAAAACAUAGUCAACAAAGAUCUACUGCUCACUCUUUUUUUUUAUGCAUUAGGAAGCUAUGACUAAUAAUUUACACAUGAAUAGUUUCAUUUACAAAUGUACUAGUGUACCUGCCAUUCCUUUGCCAUUCUGUUGUUCUGUAAUUACGCCAGCCAUCAUGAUUAGUAGUUGAAAUAACAGUUACUCGUCGAUGAGGUGCUUGCCAUUCUUUUGUUCUGUAGUUAGACACCCAUCAUUCUUUUGUUCUGUAGUUAGACACCCAUCGUGAUCAUAUUAUUUAAAACAACCUGCAAAGUGAAAGGGAUGAUUUGGUAUCAUGUACUCCAUCCGUUCCUAAAUAUAAGUCUUUUUUAGAGAUUUGAUUAAAGGACUACAUACGGAUGUAUAUAGACAUAUUUUAGAGUGUAGAUUCAUUUAUUCUGCUCCGUAUGUGGUCCCAUAAUGAAAUAUCUAAAAAGACUUAUAUUUAGGAAUGNNNNNNNNNNNNNNNNNNNNGAAUGCCGGGAGUAGAUCUAACAGUUGCUCGUGGAUGAGGGGAUUGCAGCUGCUAGUACUUGCCUAGUAUAGCACUCCCUCCGUCCCAUAAUAUAAAAGCGUUUUUAACGCUCUUACAAGUAUUAUGGAACGGAGGGAGUAUUUCUCAACCAUGACGCUGGUCUCAUUUAGCUGUUGUCGAUUUCCCCUGCAGAUAAAGGAGAUGAGGCUGAUCUUCCACUCGAAUCAGGAUGCUGUAAGGCAGUACAUUGCCCGCACCGCGAAGCUCCAAUACUCGUACCAGCCGGGUUUCUGAGCUUCGCUCCAAUACUCGUACCAGCCAGGUUUCUGAGCCCGCUUGCCAAGGUUGCCCGAUGAGCGGCGCGUCUGCGUUGCUGCCAGUAGUUAGCGCGUCAGGUGUUCCAGGGCGUUCACGUUUUAGAUGAGAGUGUGAUUAUUACUAUUAUCUCGGUAGAUGUUCUCGGCCACUUGGGAUGCGUGUAUAUACAUACACGGCAACAUGUGGUAUAACAUGUCGACUGGUUUAAUCUAUUGAUGAAGCACAAACUAGUUGAGACAGUGUAGCAAGUGGUGGCGAUUUACCUUGCCUUUUUUUAUUUUCCGUUGGUAGGCUGUGGCUUGUGCCAUCAGUAGGAAGGAGGAAGAUGGGCGUUGUAGCAGCAUGUCAAGUGCGGGCGGAAUAAACGGAGGGACGCGAAGGGAGAUUCCGUGGGAGGGCACCUCCGGGAGAAACCAUUGGGCCUAAUGAAAGGCAGAAUCAUCACCACCUCCUCAGCCACGCACCACAGUGGUUUUACACGGCAGCCUUUUUUUUCUCCUUGGAAUGAAAAGCGAGCGGGCGCCUUUCCUUCCUUACUGGGUUUCUUUACUUGGCAGAGCGAGUGUGAGUGUGAAACCAUAUUAGGAUUGGGAAAGAAAUUUGGUGUGCACGGCACGGAGAUGUUGCUGGGAACUUUUCUAGGGGUGCUUUUUAACCUUCUUUUGGGGUUUAGGCAGGUGAAGCGCAGGGGAUUGGUGCACUUGUUCCGUUGGCACUUGGCACAUCACCUAGAACCAUGUAGCUCAACCAACACACCCACGGACCACCCACCCCAUGGUGCGUUUGCGUCGACAGAAAACACCAAGCCACGGCCGCGGUCCGACGUCGACUCACUCAACCAAUGCCGAUCGGAACCUUGGACGCCUUUUCCAUUUGGCGGGCAACGAGCCAGCUUCAGCAUGAAGAAGCAGCAUUCUCUGUCUCCGCCCCCUCGCCCUCGCGUUGAGGGUGAAUCAGCCGAUCUCAGUAUCUAUAUAUUCUUGAUGAGACGCCGGUGGCCGCCAUAGCUCGCCAGCUCUUCGUCUUAUCUUUGGAGGGGCGAUAUAUGUGGAUCCACAAGCCUUUUAUUUACAUUUAUUUAUUAUAUAUAAACACAAGAUUUUUUAUAUGCGUGUAUCCCAGCUUACUUUGUAACAACAUAUUUUUUUUCAAACACACGAUACGAUCAAAGUCGUUCAUAUACACCAGCAACAACCAUAGACCUUUAGUUGUAGUAGUAGUAGUGAUAAUUCCUUUAAGAAUGCAUUGGUCACCCGUGAGGCCGUGACGCAGCAGCAGCAAUAGUAAUAACGCAUCAAAAGUUUCCAUCAAUAGAAAAAAAAGCAGUGAAGAACGCAUCCGGCAACGAGACUUUCGGCGUUUCUAUCUGUUUGAAGAAAGUAAGAUUCUUGCAUUUUAUACAAUGGGAGGAGACGCAAUCAUCCAAGGAUGUGUCGGUUCCAGGAGAGAAAAGAGAGAGAACCGUCGUUGCGGGAGGAACCGCUUGACGGUUGGUCAAGGGGAGAUUUUCCCCUAAUUACAUAAUUAGUUUUAACACUCCCCCUAAUCUAUACUUGACCAUGUGGAGUUAUCUUCAUGAUUGUCCGGGAAGCUUUAUCAUCUCAAAAACUCUUCUUCAAAAGUUCUUCAUAAAGACUUUGAUGAGAACCUGAAAUGUAAACUCACAAAGAGAUAGCAUAAUAUGAUGUUAUUUGAACAAGGAUAUCUCAAGAAGAAACUCCCCCUGUUGCCUGCAAGUCUCUAAGUCGUCGCAUACCAAUUCCAUGAACAUAUUUCUGGAAUGUUGAGUUUGGUAGAGACUUAGUAAACAAAUCAGCAAGGUUGUCACAUGAUUUGACUUGCAGAAUGCUUAUUUCCCCGCUUUUCUGAAGAUUGUGGGGGAAAAACCAUUUAGGAGAAAUAUGCUUAGUGAUAUUGCUCUUGAUAUAUCCUAUCUGCAUCUGUGCAACACAUGCCGCAUUAUCCUCAUAGAUAAUGGUUGGUGAUCCAAUAGAACCAAUUCCACAUGACUGUUGUAUGUGGUUUAUCAUUUUGCGAAGCCAUACACAUUCACAUGACGCUUCAAAUAAUGAAAUUAUUUCAGAAUGAUUGGUAGUUGUAGCCACUAGAGUCUCUUUGGAAGACUUCCAUGAUAUAGCUGUACCACCAUGUAGGAACACAAAACCGGUCUGAGAUCUGGCAUUAUGGGGAUCAGACAAAUAACCGGCAUCUGCAUACCCAAUCAUAUCAGAGUCCAGAUUUUGCUGGAACUGAAAAAAUAGGCCAAGAUCCUUUGUGCCUUGGAGAUAUCGAAAGAUAUUCUUCACUCCAGACCAAUGACGUUUGGUGGGAGCUGCGCUGUGUCUAGCAAGUAGAUUCACUGCAAAUGCAAUAUCAGGUCUUGUGCAAUUUGCAAGAUACAUAAGCGCUCUAACAGCACUGAGAUAUGGAACUUCAGGUCCCAACACCUCUUCUCCAUCAUCCCUCGGUCUGAACGGAUCUUUCUCUACGUCUAGAGAUCGAACCACCAUAGGAGUUUUAGAUGGAUAGGAUUUGUCCAUAUUGAAUUUCUCCAAUAUUUUCUGAAUAUAGGCAGCUUGGUGUACCAUGAUUCCUGAGGGAAGGUGCUCAAGUUGAAUACCUACGCAAAAUUUGGUUUUACCCAAAUCCUUCAUCUCAAAUUCCAUCUUUAGGUGAUUGCGUGCUUCAUCAAUGUCUGGUGCACUCCCGAUGUGUUGGAAUUAUGCCCUAGAGGCAAUAAUAAAUGUAUAGUUAUUAUUAUAAUUCCUGUAUCAAGAUAAUAGUUUAUUAUCCAUGCUAUAAUUGUAUUGAAUGAAGACUCAUUUACAUGUGUGGAUACAUAGACAGAACACCGUCCCUAGCAUGCCUCUAGUUGGCUAGCCAGUUGAUCGAUGAUAGUCAGUGUCUUCUGAUUAUGAACAAGGUGUUGUUGCUUGAUAACUGGAUCACGUCAUUAGGAGAAUCACGUGAUGGACUAGACCCAAACUAAUAGACGUAGCAUGUUGAUCGUGUCAUUUUGUUGCUACUGUUUUCUGCGUGUCAAGUAUUUAUUCCUAUGACCAUGAGAUCAUAUAACUCACUGACACCGGAGGAAUGCUUUGUGUGUAUCAAACGUCGCAAUGUAACUGGGUGACUAUAAAGAUGCUCUACAGGUAUCUCCGAAGGUGUUGGUUGAGUUAGUAUGGAUCAAGACUGGGAUUUGUCACUCCGUGUGACGGAGAGGUAUCUCGGGGCCCACUCGGUAAUACAACAUCACACACAAGCCUUGCAAGCAAUGUAACUUAGUGUAAGUUGCGGGAUCUUGUAUUACGGAACGAGUAAAGAGACUUGCCGGUAAACGAGAUUGAAAUAGGUAUACGGAUACUGACGAUCGAAUCUCGGGCAAGUAACAUACCGAAGGACAAAGGGAAUGACAUACGGGAUUAUACGAAUCCUUGGCACUGAGGUUCAAACGAUAAAGAUCUUCGUAGAAUAUGUAGGAUCCAAUAUGGGCAUCCAGGUCCCGCUAUUGGAUAUUGACCGAGGAGUCUCUCGGGUCAUGUCUACAUAGUUCUCGAACCCGCAGGGUCUGCACACUUAAGGUUCGACGUUGUUUUAUGCGUAUUUGAGUUAUAUGGUUGGUUACCGAAUGUUGUUCGGAGUCCCGGAUGAGAUCACGGACGUCACGAGGGUUUCCGGAAUGGUCCGAAAACGAAGAUUGAUAUAUAGGAUGACCUCAUUUGAUUACCGGAAGGUUUUCGGAGUUACCGGGAAUGUACCGGGAAUGACGAAUGGGUUCCGGGAGUUCACCGGAGGGGGGCAACCCACUCCGGGGAAGCCCAUAGGCUUUUGGGGGACACACCAGCCCUUAGUGGGCUGGUGGGACAGCCCCAAGGGAGCCUAUGCGCCAAGAUAAGAAUAUCAAAGGAAAAGAAAAAAAAAGGGAAGAAGUGGGAAGGGAGGGGGACUCCUCCCACCAAACCAAGUCCAACUCGGUUUGGGGGGGGAGUCCUCCCCCCCUUGGCUCGGCCGACCCCUUGGGGAUCCCUUGGACCCCAAGGCAAGGUCCCCCUCCCUCCUCCUAUAUAUAUGGGGCUUUUAGGGCAGAUUUGAGACGACUUUCUCACGGCUGCCCGACCACAUAUCUCCAUAGUUUUUCCUCUAGAUCGUGUUUCUGCGGAGCUCGAGCGGAGCCCUGCUGAGACAAGAUCACCACCAACCUCCGGAGCGCCGUCACGCUGCCGGAGAACUCUUCUACCUCUCCGUCUCUCUUGCUGGAUCAAGAAGGCCGAGAUCAUCGUCGAGCUGUACGUGUGCUGAACGCGGAGGUGUCGUCCGUUCGGUACUAGAUCGUGGGACUGAUCGCGGGAUUGUUCGCGGGGCGGAUCGAGGGACGUGAGGACGUUCCACUACAUCAACCGCGUUCUCUAACGCUUCUGCUGUACGAUCUACAAGGGUACGUAGAUCACUCAUCCCCUCUCGUAGCUGGACAUCACCAUGAUAGGUCUGCGUGCGCGUAGGAAAAUUUUUGUUUCCCAUGCGACGUUCCCCAACACGAUGAUGUUGAGAUCAUCAACGUACACAGAGAUGAUGCAAAAUCCUGUAGAGGACUUCUUGAUGAAGACACAUUGGCAAUCAUCACUAUUGGUGUAACCUUUCUGAAGAAGGAACUCACUUAGUCGGUUGUACCACAUCCGUCCCGACUGUUUUAAGCCAUACAAUGACUUAUUCAGCUUUACACAAUACAUGUUGCGUUUUGCACUGUUAUUCGGGACGGAGAUUCCGUCAGGAACCUUCAUAUAUAUGUCUGAAUCUAGUGACCCGUAAAGAUAUGCGGUCACGACGUCCAUCAGCUGCAUGGAUAGACGAUUUUGCACUACCAUAGAUAUAAGAUAUCGGAAAGUGGUUCCACUCAUUACUGGAGAGUAUGUUUCAUUGAAAUCAAUGCCGGGUUUCUGCGUAAAACCUUGUGCUACGAGCCUUGCUUUAUAUCUCACCACCUCAUUGUUCUCAUUCCGUUUCCGGAGGAAAACCCAUUUGAAUCACACGGGGAAAACAUUGGGAGGUGUAGGUAUUGCUUCAGUGAAUACCUUCCUUUUGUUAAGCGAGGCAAUUUCUGCUUGGAUUGCAUCCUUCCAUUUAGGCCAGUCGGAGCGCCUUUGGCACUCGACGAUAGACCUUGGAUCAUGAUCAGUGAUAAGGGUAUCUGCAAUCUUUUCAGCAAAAUAUAUGUCGACAGUCGUAGUCUUGCGGUCAAAUGAUUCUCCAGAAUCAACAUAGUUGAUAGAAAUUUCCUGCACCCCUAGAGACUCUUUGUGAUUUCCCAAUAUGGUUGAGUCUGGGUGUUCCGAUGUUCCAACCAGUUUGUGCACACUGGAGCUGGGUUGUGGAGGUUGUCCUUCCACUGGGUGUGAACUACCCAUCAGGUGUUUGUCAACGUUGAGUUGACCUCUAUUUACUGGCUCUGAGGAUUUUUUCCUCGAUUUCCUUUGCUGCUUGCUAGAAGCUAGCUCCAGGUCAGAGGCCAUACUACCCCCCUCUUUUUAGGAACAUGGAAUUGAGUGGUUUUUAUUGGUCCACUCUUUCUGGUGCGUUUCUGGCCGGAUUUAAGGAAAUGAAUCUGGCAGAUUAUUUGCAAGAUAUUGCAAAUUAAUGAUCUUCCGAACUUGAAGUUCGGUCUCGUGGGUACGUGGAUCAGAGGAUGAAAUGGAAUGAGCAUUCCAAUCAAUUUCCGGGCAUUCUUUCNNNNNNNNNNNNNNNNNNNNNNNNNNNNNNNNNCCUAACAUAGAUAAGUCUAAAACAGGACUAAAAUGUAAAUAGUUGUCAAACUAAGUACUAAACAGUACUAAACAUAGUCUAAAAAUGCACAAAUACAAUAAUUAGUACUAAUGUUAAGAAAACAGAGAAAAGAAAAAAAAACAGUUUGGCCGACCCAUGGAGCCGCUGCACCUCACAGGGGAGUUAGCAGCCGCCUCGGGCGCCUGGGCCUGGGCCUGCCCGGCCUUUGGCCGGCCCACUCGCCACCGCACCGCAUAAGGGACAGGGGGAGAGGAUGGAUCGGAUAAGGGGCAGUGUAUCUGACCCCUCCGCGCCACCUCUGCUCGAUCCCCACUGCGACACAGCGGCGCCGGCGGGGAGGAGUGGCCGCCGCAUCCCCUUGCUACUCUGGUGGUCACCGACGCAGCCCCGCCGAGCUCUCAUCGUCCGAAGAAGAUCCGAUGAAGAUGGCGUCCGGGCGCGCAACCUCUGGCGCGGCGCUGGCGAAUCCGAGGCUUGCCGGGGUCCAUGAGCCGGCGCGGCGGCCGGGACGGCGGUCGAUGGCGGCGACGGCGCGCCCGAAGAGUCGGCCGAAACGCCUCUCCGCGCGGCUGCUCGAGCCCGCGGUCGCUCCCAGCGGUGGCGCGGCCUCCUCAUCCACCAAGACCCGCAUCGGGACGGGCGCAUAGCCAGGGGGGCACUGCUUGGGCCAACUCCUUCGCCGACGGGAGUUGGCGUCGAGGGCGCAAGCCACGCGACCGGUGGAGGAGGGGGUGGAGGAGGGGACCCGGGAGGGGGUGCUGCAGCGGCGUCGUGCACCAUGGGGGCGCUCGGGCCUGCCACAAGCCAUGGGUCAAGCCCCCCGUUCACCGACGGCGCACGUGAAGCGGCGCUGAAACCAUGUCCGUGGGCGCGGCGAGCACCAGGAGCGGCGCAUCCGUCGACGCCGUGGCCGUGUCCAGCGACGCGGUGACCACCACGGGCGAAGCCAUGGGCGCGGCGAGCACCAGGAGCGGCGUAUCCGUCGACGCCGUGGCCGCAUCCAGCGACGCGGUGACCACCACGGGCGAAGCCGUGGGCGCGGCGAGCACCAGGAGCGGCGUAUCCGUCGACGCCGUGGCCGCGUCCAGCGGCGCGGUGACCACCACGGGCGAUGCGGCGGACGGCCUGCAUCCUGCGAUGGAAGCGCCGGAGUCCGGCAACACCAUGACCGCGACGACGGUAGCGACGGCCAUCCGCGCGAAUCAGGCGGAGAAAGAAAGAAACAAGGCCAGGCAUCUCACCGGCAAGUUUCGAUCUCUUCUUCUCUCUGUGUUCUUCCGCUCGUGGGUUGAGUUCUACAUGCUGAUAACAUGUUUGAAGAAAGUAAGAUUCUUGAUUCAAUGAUGACAGGGAUCUGCCAUUUUAUACAAUGGGAGGAGACGCGAUCAUCCAAGGGAUGUGUCGGUUCCAGGAGAGAAAAGAGAGAGAACCGUCGUUGCGGGAGGAACCGCUUGACGGUUGGUCAAGGAAAGAUUUUCCCCUAAUUACAUAAUUAGUUUUAACACUAUCUAGCCACGCUCUAGGAGCUAGAGUGGUACUGCUAGUGGGUGGUGGCUAGCAAGUCGGCAGUGCGGCGACUCACAAGGAAGCCUGGACGGCACGCACCCUACCCUCCCCCGCCCGCAGCUAUAAUUGCUUCCCCCUGCGGUUGCUUCGGUUCAGUUGAGCGCUCGCGACGACGAGACAGACAAAAACAAAAAAAACAUGGGCUCCUUCCUGUCGUCGCUCUUCACCCCACCCCCGCUCCCCGGCGACGACCCGGACUCCGCCGUCGUCGCCGUCCACUCCAAGCCCGCCUGGGACCAGCACUGGGAGGCGCACCGGAACGCAUCCAAGCUGGUCCGUCGCCUUCCUCUCGACUCUCGAGUAGUAGUAGUAAAUAGUAAUCCCCGCGCUCCUCCGGAUCUGACGGACCCUGCUGAUCUCUGCCAUGCGCUUGCUCCCACAGAUGGUGAUCGACUUCUCCGCCUCCUGGUGCGGGCCCUGCCGCUUCAUCGAGCCCGCCUUCAAGGAGAUGGCCUCCCGCUUCGCCGACGCCCUCUUCGUCAAGAUCGACGUCGACGAGCUCGCGGUACCUCCUGCUCCUGCUUGCCUCCUUGCUUGGAUCCCGCACCCCUCUACCCACUUGCCAGCACUUGAAUUAUUAAUCUGGCUUGGGCCUUCGUGGAGUUGGCAAGGGGAAAGCCUCUGGUCUUGGAGACAUAGGUAGCCCACGCCUUUGGUUCCAUGAAUUAUAUCCGAAUUUCGCCCAAUCGUCCGACGAAAAAUGAACAUAUAAGUAAAUAAAUGCCCUGUUCCACCGUAUAUUUUGGGGCGAAGAAAUCGUUGCUACUGCCUAACUCCGUCAGAGUUGGAUGCAUCGUGUGUUAAGCCAGAUUAUCUGAUUAUAUUGAACCAGUGAGCUGCUUGGGCAUACAAAUCAGAUGGGUCGAAACGAAAUCGAGUGAGGUACAACAACUAGUUUGGGAAUAUGGGAUCUCACUUGAUACGGAUUAAGACUGCUCCCAGUAGGAGUAGGAUACUAGGAUCAAUCAAACAGAAAAUACUUUGUAAAUACAGGCUUGCUUGAUUUAAAGCACACAUUCCGCAUCUUUUUCUGCUCUAGUGAAGCUGUCACGGGAUGUUUGUGGCUAAUUUGAGAUGACUGUAGAGCAUAUCACACACUCAUUAUCGACUGGUACCAAAUUUAGACAUGAAAAACAUACUUCUAAAACAGGGCCACCUAAGCACCAGGGGACACCCUCACGUCUCGCCUGCCUAUGCAGCCACAUGGCCUGAUGGUGACAACCAGGUUGCACCCUGCCGCUCCUAGCCAUUACCAUAACACUUUGAAUUCACCCUCAAAUUAAUGAAUGCUCCAGUACCCACAUCUGUAACCGACAAAACCUGUGCCUGAUAGUGAUUCCCACUCUGUUGGGAUGAAAUAUGGAAGGGAAUUACCGCCUACUCCCUCCGUUUCUAUAUAUAACCCUUUUUAGAUAUUUCAAUACGGGUGUAUAUAGACAUAAUUUAGAGUGUAGUUUCACCCAUUUUGCUCCGUAUGUAGUCCAUAUUGAAAUCUCUAAGAAGACUUAUAUUCAGGAACAGAGGGAUUAUAUUUUUAUAGCAUGGCCCUCAGCUUGUGUGGAUAUUGAUAGUACAAAACCACUUUCUAUGUUUGCAACUUUACAUGAAAAAGUUUAGUUGUAAAAUUUACGAAAACAAAGUGUUCUUUAGGCUAUAAAAAGAGCGAGGGAUGAAAAUCGGUGCAUAUGGGAAAAGCGACCUUCAAUUUUUUUCUUCUAUCAAGCCUCUUGUGGCAGGUUAUGCAUUCAGAGCAGAAUGCUUCCUGUUCUUCUGAAGCAGAAGUGUGUCAUUAUCCUUAAUGUCGAUGCAUUGGGGUUUUGCAGGAGGUUGCAAAGACAUUCCGCGUAGAGGCGAUGCCGACCUUUGUGCUGGUGAAGGGCGGGCAGGAGGUGAGUCGCGUGGUCGGGGCUAAGAAGGAUGAGCUUGACAGGAAGAUCAAGACGUUCAUCUCAUCGUCCUGAUCCUGGCUUAAUUAGCCUGCACUCCAAUUGUAGUGCCAGGUUCCGUUUUCUCGAUCCCAGUGGCAAGAGGCUCCUAUGGUUUCCCCAUGUGGUAGUACCAAUCCUCCUUCUAAAAUGCUGCAAAAUCCGACGUAAAGUGGUAAUAAAGGUUCUGAAACUUGGAUCGUGUAAAUGUGUAACUCUGGCCUGUCUGAUCGUCAUCUGUCACCUUGGGCAAUCAAGUUACUGUGAUAUAAAGUGUGUUACUGGUAUUCAUGUUUUUAUUCUGGACAUACUGUAGUUUGUUACUGAAAAAACGACACUGUAUGUUCCCUUUGCAUCAAGUGAAUGUACAAGAUAUUGUUGAUUUUGGUUUGGCUGAUGUUACCCGGC